UGAGCCUGCCCACGUCCGUCCCCGGUCCGGUAGAUAUAGGUCCGUCCGUCCGUGUAUAUCUAUCUGCUCUGCUCUGCUCCGCUCCGUGCCUGCCUCGUUUUGCUUAACUUGAUUCUUGAUUUCUUCUUCUUCUUUCUUCUUUCUUCUUCUUCCUCUUGCUCUUCUUCUGGUAAGACCCCAUUGACGGCGAGCAAGAACAUGUGGUUACAGAGGAUGUUGCUUCAUACUUUUGUGAUUAUUUGCUUCUUAUAUCAAUUAAUUUACAAGAAAAAAUAUCAAGAACAUAUAGCUCCACCAGUGCACUGAGCAGCAGUCGAUCCCCUUCUCCAUUUUGUCGAUCCAUGAAUCCAUGGCAAGAACACAUCGCAGCACUUAUCUUCCCUCCCUUCGCCCAAAUCUCCAAUGGUAAUGGCAAUGGCAAGUCAGAAUCCAUGGGUUGGCACCGGAGAAGCUCGGUCAUGGCGGGAGAGGAGGAGGACUGCGACUUGGCGAGCCCCUGCUCCGUGUCAGCCAGCUAGCUGAUAGGUUUGUCUAGCUCGUUGGCAGCAGCCGCCAAGUGGUGGAGCGAUUCCGUCAGCUGAUCGAUGUGUUGUUGGUUGAUUGUUCGGCCAGCGGAAAAGAAAUCAAAGUUUGGCUGGUUCCUUCGCCGUGGUUCGUGGGCGCGUCGCUGUCGCCGAACUGGGGGGCUGCCAACUCCGAGCUACCUCCGGCGCCUGCCUGCCAGCGUCAUCUCGUUGUGACAUCGUGUGAGGCGCACGGGCUGCCCGAAGCUUCGGCGGUCUUCUUCUCUCCCCUUUCUUUCCAGGGGGAGGAAAUGUCAGCGGCGGCAGGCGUGUCGCCGUCCGGUCUCAUUAUUUUUCUUCCACAUUUCGCCGUCUGGUUUUGAGACUGGACCUAUUCAAGGAGUAUAUUCGCGGGCGGACCACUUUAAUCUCGUGCACGAGAGUGAAACUUGUUGACCGGAUUGAAAAUUAACUUUCAUGAAAGUGAAGUUCAUUGUCUUUUUUUCUGGAUACAUGUCCUUUUUUUAGAGUGGAUCUAUUCAAUGCGCAUAAUUCACGUCCGGGCCACUAAAUCUUGUGCACGAGAGUGAAAUUUGUUGUCUGGAUUAAAAAUUAAUUUUCAUAAGAUCAAAGUUAGUUGCCUUUUCUUUUCAUAAAUUUUGAUUUUAUUAAACUCAAUAUAUAGCAUCAAGCGGAACACUCCCACGAUACUGAUCUAAACGAUCUUAUAUUUCUUUACAGAGGGAGUACAACGGAUAAUGGGUGGACAUCUGUACCCUGCAUAAUUAGGAUGCAUACAACCAACAUUAGCAGUCUCACAAUAAAAAAAAGACAUAAUGGCCGAAGUUUUUUUAAUGUCUAGGAAAGACAUGUGAAAGAGGAGAGAGGCAUGUGAAAGAGAGGAACAAUCUAGUGAUUUUUUUACAUGAAGUAUAAGGAAAAUACAGAAACUACCUUGUACUUGGGAAUUCCAAUUGAUGUCAAGAGACUAAUUGAUCAUUGAAAACAAGUAGGGAAAAUGUGGAACAACAAUUUUUUCAAUACAAAUGAAAUAUUUAUCUAUUGGAGUACUUCCCCACACUUGCAUGAACAAUGUUUCAUCGUGAUCAGAAGACUAAACUUCUACGGAUAAAAGAAAAUAACACAUGUCUGCCAAAAGAUUAUGGGGGGCUUGUAUUCCUGAAUCCGACCACUAUUAAUCAAAGAUUAUUGUGCAAAAGCUUGUGGAAAUUGGAGAAUGCCGAAGGCACUUGGUAUACUACAUUGCCAAAUAAACACGUGCAAAACCAAGUUUCGUCCCCAUGCCAAAAAAGGAGUCUGUUUCACAUUUCUGGCAGAGCCUGAUGGGAGUAAAUCUCUUUUCCCAGAAGUUUGCUAAAAGGGAUUCUUAGUGGGCUAAAACCAUGUUCCGGAAAAAAAAAACUGUGUGAAUGGAUUACAUGAUUCCCAAUACUAUACAAUAAAUAUCACAGUCUCUAAAUUGUUCAUAAUGUAAAGGAUGGUGAAUGGGGUUGCAUGAGAUUCAAAAGAACUCCGAGGGGAGAGACCAUAGAGCAAUCAUCUAAUCUGGAGAAUUCGGUGAAUGCUUAUAAUUCAAGUGAUGAGGAAGACAUGGUGAGAUCGAGAAUUGGGAUUAAAACAUGUUUAUUAUUAGAGAGGUAUAUUGGCAGCAUCUUUUGAUAUGGCUGGUUAUAGGUUUUACGUGGAAUCUGAGAGAUAACGAUAUUCCUCUAGUCAAUGCUUAAAAUGGUAUCUUGACCAAGGAUAAUCUUCUCAGGAGAGUUUGGAAUAGAAAUGAUCAUUUGAUAUUUGAUUGUGCCCUAUCUAAACUAAUUUGCCAAGUGACCCUUUUGUGCAUUUGGUCUAAAUAGACCUCCUGGCAUAAUUGAUGAUCUCUUCAACGAAUAGAUGCAUGCUUUCCCAUCGUCCCAACGCAAACUAGUUCUCUCUGGUGGAGCGUCUAUUUGUUGCAUGAUUCAAAAACUAGGAAAAUAGUUUUCUUUAGACAACAUCAUAUGAGUAAUCAUGUUGUUUAUGCAACACCCUUUGACACAUGGAAUGUUUCUCAGAAAGAACAAUGUCGAUGAAGCCAUGAAGGAGAAAUUCCAGUGAUAAAGUUGGCGGUUUCGGAGGCCAUGGGAAGAUUUAAUUUCCUACAAUUUGGGUAGUGAAGGAGAAAUUCCUACAAGUUGGCGGUUUUGGAGGCCAUGAAGGAGAAAUCCAGUGAUAAAGUCUUGCCCUACCUUGAUUGUUUUCAUGGUGAUCUGAACUACAACUAGCCCCUUGAGCAUGUUAAAAAAUUUAGUGUGUCGGGGCUUCAAAAAUAUUCUUAGGUCCGCCAUUUGAGGAGGUGUGGGCGCGAAGUCAUGGCUAGACGCCAAUGGUGAAUAGGACACAAACCGAAGGCUUUUGAGCACUAGUUGUUGGUGAUAGUUGUUCUUUCAGAAUCACAGCUUGUGGUGAAAGUCCUCUUCUGCCCCGGGUCUCAAAUGAGCUCGGGAUGACAGUAAAAUAGAAAAAAGGGAAAAAAAGGAAACUAUGCUGAAUUUUUGUGUGCCAAACUUUGACAAAUUUCAUCACGAAUGACAUUCGUGCAAGUCAUGGCAAAAGAAAUCAAAACUCCAAAAUGCUUUCAAAAUAGCAUUUUGGAGCAUCGGGUUUGUUGUUUUCGCCAUGACAUCCAUGAAUGCCCUUUCCAGUUGAACUUUUGCAAUCACACAAAACAUUUGUCAAAGUAUAGCAAAAUAAAUCUAUUUUUUUUCAAUUUUGUUAAUAUUUUUUUGAUUUUACUGCUCAUCAGGGUGCAUUUGAGCUCGCUAGCAGAUACUCCACAUCCAACUUGUGGUUGCUAUAAGUCCCUACAAUGUACUAAGUAUAUGUCUUUUUAAAGAAAGUGCUAAGUGUAUGUUGAGACUACUUGUUUUGUUUCUCCUUUGCAUGGAACUCUUCGUGUAACGGUUCCUUUAAUAGAAAUCGAGGAGGAGUAUUACUGUUAUAGAAAAAACACACACAUGGGGUCAAGUCGAUCUUGCUAAUAUUAUUUACUAUAUGCUCUGUCUAGGAAUCGUUUCUGUCAAGAAAAAACAUUUUUUCCAUCACACACAACAGAAGUCUCCAUUGCACAAAAAAUGAUAUGCAUAAACCAAAAGUAGUUCGACCUCUUGGUUUAGAAAAUCUUGAUAAGGCGAACAAUAAGAAGUUGUCUGAUGAGGGGAAGGAUGGAAUGAACAUUGAUAAGGAAGAUGAUGAUGGUGAUAUUAUGGGUGAAGAAUUGGUGGAAUAUGGUAGUGAUCAAAGGGUUCAUUUCUCUCAGGAGGAAUUGGAUCAUGAGUCACACGAACCAUUUGGAGAAACAGUAGCCAACGCCCAAGGAGUCAAUGUUAAAGAUCUUAGUUGGUGUUAAAGGUAGCCAACAAGAAGCACAUACUAGUAACGCUAAUGUUGAGUUCAGUAGAUGUGAGAGGUCGAAGGAUCAAGAGGAUCUAGACACAAUUGCUUUAGCCAUGAAGAGGAUGGAUUCAAAAUAUACUAUUCCAGGUAACUAAGCUAAUGUUCCCACGGUUCUUAAUACUAAGAAUGAUGAUGAUCUAGUGAAUAUGACUAAAAAUUUAGGUGUUGUUAACAACGAUUGUGAUGCCACGUUUAUUUCUUCAAUUAAAACUUAAAAAAUGGCUAGCAAAAUCCUUUUGUGGAAAGAAGUAAAGAUAAAAAAUACAAGAACUUGUUAAGGACACCGAUGAUGAUGAGCUAUUACAUUCAGGUGAUAAGAUCAUAAACUUGUGCUCCUUUUUUUAGGGUUAGCUAGCUAAAAAAGGGUAGAUCCCUAAAGAAAAAUAAAUUAAAAUGUCAGGAAUCUUUUGUAAUUGCAGGGGUUUGGGAUGCCCUGAUAAAACAAAGAUUCCAGUGGUAGAUGAUUUUUGAUCUUGGAGUCCAAUUCAUAGGUGUCCCAAAGACUAAGAUACGUGGAUUCAACCGGAGUUGGGCCAAAAAAAUUCUGGCCAUAAAAACUUCUUUCGGCCGCACCUAGAUCUUAAUGGUAGGUUAGGUGGUUUGCUGCUUGAGGUUGACUCUGAUAAUAAUGAGGUUGUUAACUUUGAGGUUGGAAAACACUAUAUUUGCCGACAACUUGAAGAGAAGAAAAUCUUAAGAAGUUGGCAAUUAGUUAUGUUUUAUGGCCAUGAUCCAAGAAGACAAAGAUGGUUUCCUUGUUGAAUUUGCUAGUGUACGCAAUAGAUGUAAGAGGGGGGGGGCUCAUUUAUGGCGAUUUUAAUGUCAUCAGAUGGACUAGUGAGAAAAAUAAACCUUGUGUUCUGAUAACCCACAAGUAUAGGGGAUCGCAACAGUUUUCGAGGGUGGAGUAUUCAACCCAAAUUUAUUGAUUCGACACAAGGGGAGCCAAAGAAUAUUCUCAAGUAUUAGCAGUUGAGUUGUCAAUUCAACCACACCUGGAUAACUUAAUAUCUGCAGCAAAGUAUUUAGUAGCAAAGUAGUAUGGAAGUAACGAUAACGGUGGCAAAAAUAACAGUAGCAGCUUUGUAGUAAUUGUAACAGUGGCAACGGAAAAGUAACUAAGCAAGGAUCAAUAUGUGAAAAGCUCGUAGGCAUUGGAUCAGUGAUGGAUAAUUAUGUCGGAUGCGAUUAUUCAUGCAACAGUUAUAACAUAGGGUGACACAGAACUAGCUCCAGUUCAUCAAUGUAAUGUAGGCAUGUAUUCCGAAUAUAGUCAUACGUGCUUAUGGAAAAGAACUUGCAUGACAUCUUUUGUCCUACCCUCCCGUGGCAGCGGGGUCCUAUUGGAAACUAAGGGAUAUUAAGGCCUCCUUUUAAUAGAGUACCGGACCAAAGCAUUAACACUUAGUGAAUACAUGAACUCCUCAAACUACGGUCAUCACCGGUAAGUAUCCCGAUUAUUGUCACUUCGGGGUUAACGGAUCAUAACACAUAAUAGGUGACUAUAGACUUGAAAGAUAGGAUCAAGAACUCACAUAUAUUCAUGAAAACAUAAUAGGUUCAGAUCUGAAAUCAUGGCACUCGGACCCUAGUGACAAGCAUUAAGCAUAGCAAAGUCAUAGCAACAUCAAUCUCAGAACAUAGUGGAUACUAGGGAUCAAACCCUAACAAAACUAACUCGAUUACAUGAUAAAUCUCAUCCAACCCAUUACCGUCCAGCAAGCCUACGAUGGAAUUACUCAUGCAUGGUGGUGAGCAUCAUGAAAUUGGUGAUGGAGAAUGGUUGAUGAUGACGACGACGACGGAUUCCCAUCUCCGGAGCCCCGAACGGACUCCAGAUCAGCCCUCCCGAGAGAGUUUAGGGCUUAGCGGCGGCUCCGUAUCGUAAAACGCGAUGAAUCCUUCUCUCUGAUUUUUUUCCCCGAAUGUGAAUAUAUGGAGUUGGAGUUGAGGUCGGUGGAGCGCCAGGGGGCCCACGAGGCAGGGGGCGCGCCCUGGGGGGGGGGGGGUAGGCGCGCCCCCACCCUCGUGGACAGGGUGUGGGCCCCCUGGCCUUGAUUCUUUCGCCAGUAUUUUUUAUUAAUUCCAAAAAUAUUCUCCGUGAAGUUUCAGGUCAUUCCGAGAACUUUUAUUUCUGCACAAAAAUAACACCAUGGCAAUUCUGCUGAAAACAGCGUCAGUCCGGAUUAGUUCCAUCCAAAUCAUGCAAGUUAGAGUCCAAAGCAAGGGUAAAAGUGUUUGGAAAAGUAGAUACGAUGGAGACGUAUCAUGUUCUUCCCAAAUGGAGGCACACUUUCAAUUCUAUCAUUGAUGGUAAUGGUUUGAGAGAAGUGCAGCUCUAAAGAAGACUGCACACUUAGUCUAAUUUCCAUGAAAUGCCCACUUUUGGUAAGCUGGACAUGGUCGUAGUUUCCUCAGAAUGAGAUGUUGCUUAUCCAUUAGUAACAGUGGUUGGCCUAAAUAGAGAGCUAUAUGAUCAUGUUCCUUUACAUUUGAUAUUUGGGAUCCCACCCACUCAUAGUGAUAAUUUUAGAUUUAAAAAUUGUUCGUUUGAGAGGGAUGGUUUCAUGAGUGUAGUUAGGAAGAGAUGGCAUGCUCCAACCUAUUGCGUUCAUGAUUUAGACAAGUGGCAAGAGAAAGCCAUAAGACUCGAGAAGACAGUUAAAAGGCUCGCAUAUUAAUAUGGAAGGUGUGUACAGAAAUUUGAAGGAGAUUUUGAGUGAGUUAGAUGAGUUGGAUGGAAGGAGUGUUACUGUAGUUUUAUCAACUUGGGAGAGAGAUCAUAAAUUGGUUCUGGAUGCCAAUUUGAAAAAAUAAUGUUGACCCGAUCAAAAUUGAUUUACCCAAUACUACAUUAGAGACCUCAAUUGAUUGUAGAGCCUCAAAAAUUAGGGAGCAUAGUAUGGUUUGAUAUUUCAUUUAUGGGCCCAAAGCCAACCUAUAAUUCAACGGUACUCCAAUAACUCCAAUAGGAGCAUAUCUUGAGAUUUGAAAGCUUCGAGGCAUGCAUGUGCUAGGAGGUGUUCCCUUCUCCAAGUUACACUAGUGGUUGGCGCUCGUCAUUGCGGGCCUCUUAAGAGGAAGCUGCGCGCGUAUUUCUCUCUCUUAAAAAAGAAAAGACAAAAAACUCACCUUCAUCUCAAAAUAAAAUAAAAAUUCUCGCAACACGUGCACAUCACACCGUAUCAAAAAGAAAAAGAAAAAGACUAAAUAAAUCUUAAAAAUAAAAAAUAAAAGUCUCACUUCCAUCUUCCAAAAUAAUCUCCAAAAACACUUUUCUAAAAAAAGUCUCACUUUCAUCUUCCAAAAAUAAUAUUAAAAAAAUAUAAAAUUUUCUCGCCACGGCCAACCGGCAUGCGCCACGUGGCCAUGCUGGUUGGCCGCCCUUCUCGCGCACGUUAUUGUGUUUGAUGGCUGGGUAGUUUUUUUUUGGCUUUUGAGCUUUGUAACUUUGUGAUGGUUUCUUUGGUGGAAAUUGAUGUGGGGCUCGUUGUUGAAAAUAAAAAUAUGACCUCUUUUUUUUAGGAACUUCAUAGAAAUUUUGGAAAAUUCCAUCAAUUGGGAAACUUUUCUAAAGCUCGUGUUUUUUUAACAACGCAGAUGUUCAUAUAUAUGCACAUAUACUUACCCAUAUUAACGCAUCCACGCACAUCCUACUCCUAUGAGCACCUCCAAAAAACCAUGCCGGCACAUUAUUUUAAGAUCCGCGAGUGAAUCGGAUGGCAGCACAAUCCGCAGGAACCAGUGGCAUCACCGCAUCAGUAAACAGAAGUGACGUGGACAUGGCAGCUACCGGACCAGUUCUACUCUAGCUAGCUAGCCAGCCCUUUUUGUGCCACUAAAACGUGGGACAUGCUCGUACUGGAGCCGCUGCCUUUUAUGUAUGGUCGGGUGUGCAUAUUGUCAAGGAACGGAUGAUGGAUUGAUUACUGAGCGAUGACCAUGUCAGAGUAGUUCUAGCUAGUGAUGUGUGACGACGAAGCCGAUGAUCAACCCCUCACCUAAUCGAGCGAGGGAGCGCAACGAAGGUCUCAUCGCCAUCAGCUGAUCCGUGCCCGGAAGAACAACCUUGAGAGUUCGUUGUCACGAGAAGCCCUCGUGCUCGGGCUUGAAGGAGGCUCAACCCUCAAGCCGCCAUUUCUUCUCCAAGAGCGACUCGUCUAUUAUGUCAAAUCACAUCGUCACCCGCACAUGUAGGUCAUCUCUAGCUCAGACUUUCAAAUAACCUGCAUACGUCCGAAUCGAGCUGUUCGGACGCACUUUGCCAAUCAACGCGGCAUUCAGAGACCAAUGACAAAGCUGGACAUCCGAAGAUGCGACUGCAUUCCAGAAAAUAAUAGCAAGAUUCAGUUAGAUCGUCCACGCAUUGAAAAACUAAUGUUUGCCCGAUGAACAUGCAUGGACACAUGGUUUUGAUUUGGAAGCUGAGGUACGGAGACUUUUUGAAGAUACACGAGCUGGUCCGAAGAUGAUCGAUCCUCUGAGGAACAUGUGAAAAGGCAUGAAGGUACUUUAAAACUAAAUUAAGAUCGGAAGUGAACAUGGCAUGCCAGCCAGGAUGGGAAGGAAGGCAAGUGCUGUGGUGGUUGAACUGGUUUCCACAUCGGGAGGUGUUGGACUUUCUCACGCACAAAGACAAGGAGCAGGGAACCACCAUCUCCUGCAUGUACUCCGAUCCACUACUAACUAGAUUCAUUACUGAAUAACAAAAUUUCUGUCUUUUUUGUAAUUUUUUUGCUACUCCCUUUGAUUCAAAAUAAAUGUCGCAGUUCUUAACUAGGGUUAGUUCUUUUUAAGGAUCGAAGGUAGUAUUUCUAUUUUUGUUUUGGACUGUGCUAACUUCCGACUGACCGGAAGAUAAGCAACAGAUCCAUACGCCUCCUUCUUCCUACCUAAUCACGCAUGCAUGCAACCUUACUAACUAAUCCCGUGGGUGGUAGCCGAGGAAACACAUGCAGCCGGGGUCGGGCUCUCCUGCUGGAAUCCCUGCACGCACUAUCGUGCAGGGCACCAGCGGCCAACACGUGGCCUGGUGGACCCCAUCACUUAAUGAACAGAUUUUGUUUUGUUUAUAAUUUUCUGAAAAGUCCUUCUCCUUGCCUUAUCCAUCGUGGACGCUUCGAGCUAGUACUACCAUUAUUCCACUGAACCGAGCUCCGUGAGUGAGAGAGAUAGAGAGUUCCAGAAAGUGAGGUCCGCCGUCUGGCGGCGUCGUGGUCGUGGCGAGCGACAGAGGGAGCAGCCGCGGCUGCCGCUGCCUGACUCCGGCGCGCCCAAGCCCCGGCCAAGGCUGGAGCAGCUGCUCUGUCAUGCCGCCGUUCCCCUCCUGGACCGACCAGAUCCCUUGGAGAAGGUGGGGAACUGCAGGGCAUGCGGCCGGCUGGGUGCAGCACUGCUUCGCCGGGAUGCCGCAAGAGGCCGUGCAGGCGGACAUCAAGACGGGAGCCCGAUGCACACUCGCCGCACAGAGGUUAGUGGUAGCUGAUAUCUUCAUCUAUCCUGUACUAGUAGCUAGCUUUCGAUGGCUUCAAACUAGUACAAGGGCUAUCCAAUUAAUUACUACUAGUAUGUUGCUAAGAUAACCGUUAAUUUGAGAUUAAACUAGCUUUCAGUGACUUCAAACUAGGCAGCGUCAUGUAGCUAUGUUCUCUGUUUUUAUCACACGACUACAAUAAUCUCUAUCAUUACAAUUGGCAAAGAAGACACAAGAAACAGACCUAUGAAAGAUGAAGUACGUGGAGCUAAGUCUCAAGGAUUAAUUUGCAUGUCAUAGAUUAAGCUCUUCCUUUGUUUCUGUUUAAUCUUGUCCCCUCCAUAUGAUGAGAGUGUUGAUAAUUUGCAGAUUCAAAACACAACAACAAACCUAUGGAUGAAGUCGCAGGAGCUCCUUCCAUGCCGAAGAACACCGUAGAUGCUGGUCCACGUGAGAGAUCAAUUCUCUAUCGAUCCUGAUCUAUUCAUGUGUGAUCCACAAUGGAGUAGAUAGAUAGGAGAAAGGAUGUUGGAGAUUUUGGCGGCAAUCUGUUGAUACGCGCGAGAAAGAAAGGCAGUUUUACUGAUUUUCUGUAAUUAGAGAGAUACAGGCUGGUUGUUUUAGUGAUGGGGCCCACCAGGCCACGUGUUGGCCGCUGGUUGGCCCUGCACGAUAGUGCGUGCAGGGAUCCCAACAGGAGAGCCCGACCCUGCAGCCGGCCUUGAUUAAUGAUUUCAUGCAUGCAUGCAAACUAAAAGACAAAACAGAUAAUGUCAGCAAAAGAUUCUCCCUAUUUCGAAACUUUAAAAUGUUUUGUAGCUCAAAUCGUCGCUCCGAUUUAAAAUCCGUUUUCACGUAAAAAUUCGCCAUAACGAGAGCAUCGAAACAAGAUCCCAUAUUGGUAUGUUUCGACGACUUUUUUUUCAGGCCAAAAGUUACCAUGCCCAUAGUGUGUAACUUAUCAUGGGGUUACACUGAAGUUAUCAGGGGUAUGUUUCAACUACUUUUUUUGCCUAGGUCAAAAUUUACCAUGGUAUUGUAAGUAAAUUAUGCAAUACCCACAGUCUACGAUCGAUGUCAUCCUUGGGCCAUGAGGUGAGGUCCACAUGCCAACAUGGCAUGACCCACAUAUCAAACAAAAAAUUACGCAUUAUGCCUAGCUAGACCGGUUUAGGUAUGUGCCAGACCGUGUAGUGCUUAGGUCUAUGGUGCGUAGAGUACCAUGGCAUUUACUGUUGGGGAACGUAGUAAUAAUUCGAAAUUUUCCUACGUGUCACCAAGAUCAAUCUAGGAGAUGCUAGCAACUAGAGAGAGGGAGUGCAUCUUAAUACCCUUGAAGAUCGCUAAGAGGAAGCGUUACAAGAACGCGGUUGAUGGAGUUGUACUCGCGGCGAUUCAAAUCGCGGAAGAUCCGAUCUAGCACCGAACGGACGGCGCCUCCGCGUUUAACACACGUACAGCCCGGGGACGUCUCCUCCUUGUUGAUCCAGCAAGGGGAGAGGAGAAGUUGAGGGAGAGCUCUGGCAGCACGACGGCGUGGUGGUGGAGCUUGCAGUUCUCCGGCAGGGCUUCGCCAAGCACUACGGAGGAGGAGGAGGUGUUGGGGAGGGAGAGGGCUGCGCCAGGGAAAGGGUGCGGCUGCCCUCUCUCUCCCUCACUAUAUAUAGGGGAAAGGGGGGAGGAGGAGGCGCCCUAGGGUUUCCCUAGGGGAGGGGCGGCGGCCACAGGGGAAACCAUAGAUGGGUUUGGGCGCCCCCACCCCUAGGAAACUUGCCCCCCAAGCCGGGAGGGGUGGCUGCCCUAGGGGAGGCGCCCCCACCUCUCCACGUUACGUGAGAUGGGGUGGGAGGGGCGCACAGCCCCUUAGUGGGCUGAUGUGCCCCCUCCCCUUGGCCCAUAAGCCCCCCAACGCUUGCCGGGGCCUCCGAAACCCCUUUCGGACACGCUAGUCGUCACCCGGUACCCCCGGAACGAUGCCGGACUCCAAUACCCUUCGUCCAAUAUAUUGAUCUUCACCUCCGGACCAUUCCGGAGUUCCUCGUCACGUCCGAGAUCUCAUCCGGGACUCCAAACAACCUUCGGUAACCACAUACUAUUUCCCAUAACAACUCUAGCAUCACCGAACCUUAAGUGUGUAGACCCUACGGGUUCGGGAACCAUGCAGAGAUGACCGAGACACCUCUCCGGCCAAUAACCAAUAGCGGGAUAUGGAUACCCAUAUUGGCUCCCACAUGUUCCACGAUGAUCUCACCGGAUGAACCACGAUGUCGGGGAUUCAAUCAAUCCCAUAUUCAAUUCCCUUUGUCUAUCGGUAUGUUACUUGCCCGAGAUUCGAUCGUCGGUAUCCCCAUACCUUGUUCAAUCUCGUUACCGGCAAGUAUCUUUACUCGUUCCGUAACGCAUGAUCCCGUGGCUAAUUCCUUAGUCACAUUGAGCUCAUUAUGAUGAUGCAUUACCGAGUGGGCCCAGAGAUACCUCUCCGUUAUACGGAGCGACAAAUCCCAGUCUCGAUUCGUCCAACCCAACAGACACUUUCGGAGAUACCUGUAGUGCACCUUUAUAGCCACCCAGUUACGUUGUGACGUUUGGUACACCCAAAGCAUUCCUACGGUAUCCGGGAGUUGCAGAAUCUCAUGGUCUAAGGAAACGAUACUUGACAUUAGAAAAGCUCUAGCAAAACGAACUACACGAUCUUGUGCUAUGCUUAGGAUUGGGUCUUGUCCAUCACAUCAUUCUCCCAAUGAUGUGAUCCUGUUAUCAACGACAUCCAAUGUCCAUGGUCAGGAAACCAUGACCAUCUAUUGAUCAACGAGCUAGUCAACUAGAGGCUCACUAGGGACAUAUUACGAUCUAUGUAUUCACACAUGUAUUACGGUUUCCGGUUAAUACAAUUAUAGCUUGAAUAAUAGACAAUUAUCAUGAACAAGGAAAUAUAAUAAUAACCAUUUUAUUAUUGCCUCUAGGGCAUAUUUCCAACAUUUACGCUGAGGUUAUUGAGGGUAUGUUUUUCAAUUUGUUCUCCCCGGAUCAAAGUUACCGCGGUCUGUGGUGGAAUAUUACCGUAUUAUUUACACAAAAAGGUAUCGAGGUUAUGUCUUCUUGAAGGAACAAACGAGUGAAAGUUACCGUGGUGUUCGUACAUGAGUUAUCAGCUCUGGUGUGCGUAUAGUAUCAUGUUAUUUACACAGAAAUUAUCGGGGGUAUCUUUUUUCAACAACUUUUAUUCCAGGUUCAAAAGUUACCACAGUAUUUGUACCUGAGUUAUCAGCUCUGUUGUACAUGUAUUAUCAUGUUAUUUGCACAGAAGUUAUCAUGACACCUAGUUAUCGUGGUGUUUGUACGUGAGCUAUCAAUUCAGAUAGCAAUAUAUUAUCAUGUUAUUUACAUAGAAGUUAUCAGAGGUGUGUCGCAACACCCCCCCCCCCAGCCCAAUGUUAUCAACAAUAGUUUCCCCCUGGGUCAAAGUUAUCAUGAUGUUUGUACAUAAGCUAUGAAAUACAUUGUGAGUAAAGUAUCAUGCUAUUUACACAAAAUUUAUUAGGGGUAUAUUUCCAACAGCUUUCCCCCAGGUCAAACUUACCAUAGUGUUGUAUAUAAUUUAUCAUGUCUGCAGUGUGUAAAUUAACAUGCUAUUUACACAGAAAUUACGGGGUAUCUUUUCAAUACUUUUUUNNNNNNNNNNNNNNNNNNNNNNNNNNNNNNNNNNNNNNNNNNNNNNNNNNNNNNNNNNNNNNNNNNNNNNNNNNNNNNNNNNNNNNNNNNNNNNNNNNNNNNNNNNNNNNNNNNNNNNNNNNNNNNNNNNNNNNNNNNNNNNNNNNNNNNNNNNNNNNNNNNNNNNNNNNNNNNNNNNNNNNNNNNNNNNNNNNNNNNNNNNNNNNNNNNNNNNNNNNNNNNNNNNNNNNNNNNNNNNNNNNNNNNNNNNNNNNNNNNNNNNNNNNNNNNNNNNNNNNNNNNNNNNNNNNNNNNNNNNNNNNNNNNNNNNNNNNNNNNNNNNNNNNNNNNNNNNNNNNNNNNNNNNNNNNAGUUACCGGAACUGCGGUGACUAAAUUAUCAUGCAAUUAACAAAAAAAAUUAAACGGGGGGGGGGGUGGGGUUGUUUUCGACAACUUUUUUCUCAGGGUCAAAGUUAUCACGAUAUUUGUAUCUUAGUUAUGAAGGAAAUAUGCCCUAGAGGCAAUAAUAAAGUUAUUAUUUAUUUCCUUAUAUCAUGAUAAAUGUUUAUUAUUCAUGCUAGAAUUGUAUUAACCGGAAACAUAAUACUUGUGUGAAUACAUAGACAAACAGAGUGUCACUAGUAUGCCUCUACUUGACUAGCUCGUUGAUCAAAGAUGGUUAUGUUUCCUAGCCAUUGACAUGAGUUGUCAUUUGAUUAACGGGAUCACAUCAUUAGGAGAAUGAUGUGAUUGACUUGACCCAUUCCGUUAGCUUAGCACUUGAUCGUUUAGUAUGUUGCUAUUGCUUUCUUCAUGACUUAUACAUGUUCCUAUGACUAUGAGAUUAUGCAACUCCCGUUUACCAGAGGAACAUUGUGUGUGCUACCAAACGUCACAACGUAACUGGGUGAUUAUGAAGGUGCUCUACAGGUGUCUCCGAAGGUACUUGUUGGGUUGGCAUAUUUCGAGAUUAGAAUUUGUCACUCCGAUUUUCGGAGAGGUAUCUCUGGGCCCUCUCGGUAAUGCACAUCACUUAAGCCUUGCAAGCAUUGCAACUAAUGAGUUUGUUGCGAGAUGAUGUAUUAUGGAACGAGUAAAGAGACUUGCCGGUAACGAGAUUGAACUAGGUAUUGAGAUACCGACGAUCGAAUCUCGGGCAAGUAACAUACCGAUGACAAAGGGAACAACGUAUGUUGUUAUGCGGUCUGACCGAUAAAGAUCUUCGUAGAAUAUGUGGAGCCAAUAUGAGCAUCCAGGUUCCGCUAUUGGUUAUCGACCGGAGACGUGUCUCGGUCAUGUCUACAUAGUUCUCGAACCCGUAGGGUCCGCACGCUUAACAUUUCGAUGACAGUUAUAUUAUGAGUUUAUAUGUUUUGAUGUACCGAAGGUUGUUCAGAGUCCCGGAUGUGAUCACGGACAUGACGAGGAGUCCUGAAAUGGUCGAGACAUGAAGAUUGAUAUAUUGGAAGCCUAUGUUUGGAUAUCGGAAGGGUUCCGGGUGAAAUCGGGAUUUUACCGGAGUACCGGGAGGUUACCGAAACCCCCCGGCAACAUAAUGGGCCUUAGUGGGCCUAGGUGGAAGAGAAGAGAGGCGGCUAGGGCUGGGCCGCGCGCCCCUCCCCCUAGUCCGAAUAGGACAAGGAGAAGGGGACGGCGCCCCCCUCCUUCUUCUCCCUCUCCUCUUUCCCCCCUCCCAAGUCCUAAUCCAACUAGGAAAAGGGGGGGGAGUCCUACUCCCGGUGGGAGUAGGACUCCUCCUGGCGCGCCCCAAGGUUGGCCGCACCUCCCCCCUUUGCUCCUUUAUAUACGGGGGCAGGGGGCACCCCAAAGACACAACAAUUGAUCAUUGAUCUCUUAGCCGUGUGCGGUGCCCCCCUCCACCAUAUUACACCUCGAUAAUAUCGUAGCGGUGCUUAGGCGAAGCCCUGCGUCGGUAGAACAUCAUCAUCGUCACCAUGCCAUCGUGCUGACGAAACUCUCCCUCAACACUCGGCUGGAUCGGAGUUCGAGGGACGUCAUCGAGCUGAACGUGUGCUGAACUCGGAGGUGCCGUGUGUUCGGUACUUGAUCGGUCGGAUCGUGAAGACGUACGACUACAUCAACCGCGUUGUGUUAACGCUUCCGCUUUCGGUCUAUGAGGGUACGUGGACAACACUCUCCCCUCUCGUUGCUAUGCAUCACCAUGAUCUUGCGUGUGCGUAGGAAUUUUUUUGAAAUUACUACGUUCCCCAACAGUGGCAUCCGAGCCUGGUUUUAUGCGUAGAUGUCAUAUGCACGAGUAGAACACAAGUGAGUUGUGGGCGAUAUAAGUCAUACUGCUUACCAGCAUGUCAUACUUUGGUUCGGCGGUCCUGUUGGAUGAAGCGGCCCGGACCGACAUUACGCGUACGCUUACGCGAGACUGGUUCUUCCGACGUGCUUUGCAGAGAGGUGGCUGGCGGGUGUCAGUUUCUCCAACUUUAGUUGAACCGAGUGUGGCUACGCCCGGUCCUUGCGAAGGUUAAAACAACACCAACUUGACAAACUAUCGUUGUGGUUUUGAUGCGUAGGUAAGAACGGUUCUUGCUCAGCCCAUAGCAGCCACGUAAAACUUGCAAUAACAAAGUAGAGGACGUCUAACUUGUUUUUGCAGGGCAUGUUGUGAUGUGAUAUGGUCAAGGCAUGAUGCUAUAUUUUAUUGUAUGAGAUGAUCAUGUUUUGUAACCAAGUUAUCGGCAACUGGCAGGAGCCAUAUGGUUGUCGCUUUAUUGUAUGCAAUGCAAUCGCCAUGUAAUUGCUUUACUUUAUCACUAAGCGGUAGCGAUAGUCGUAGAAGCAAUAGUUGGCGAGACGACAACGAUGCUAUGAUGGAGAUCAAGGUGUCGCGCCGGUGACGAUGGGGAUCAUGAUGGUGCUUCGGAGAUGGAGAUCACAAGCACAAGAUGAUGAUGGCCAUAUCAUAUCACUUAUAUUGAUUGCAUGUGAUGUUUAUCUUUUAUGCAUCUUAUCUUGCUUUGAUUGACGGUAGCAUUAUAAGAUGAUCUCUCACUAAAUUUCAAGAUAAAAGUGUUCUCCCUGAGUAUGCACCGUUGCCAAAGUUCGUCGUGCCCAGACACCACGUGAUGAUCGGGUGUGAUAAGCUCUACGUCCAUCUACAAUGGGUGCAAGCCAGUUUUGCACACGCAGAAUACUCAGGUUAAACUUGACGAGCCUAGCAUAUGCAGAUAUGGUCUCGGAACACUGAGACCGAAAGGUCGAGCGUGAAUCAUAUAAUACAUAUGAUCAACAUAGUGAUGUUCACCAUUGAAAACUACUCCAUUUAACGUGAUGAUUGGUUAUGGUUUAGUUGAUUUGGAUCACGUGAUCACUUAGAUGAUUAGAGGGAUGUCGAUCUAAGUGGGAGUUCUUAAGUAAUAUGAUUAAUUGAACUUAAAUUUAUCAUGAACUUAGUACCUGAUAGUAUCUUGCUUGUCUAUGUUGAUUGUAGAUAGAUGGCCCGUGCUGUUGUUCCAUUGAAUUUUAAUGCGUUCCUUGAGAAAGCAAAGUUGAAAGAUGAUGGUAGCAAUUACACGGACUGGGUCCGUAACUUGAGGAUUAUCCUCAUUGCUGCACAAAAGAAUUACGUCCUAGAAGCACCGCUGGGUGCCAGGCCUGCUGCAGGAGCAACACCAGAUGUUAUGAACGUCUGGUAGAGCAAAGCUGAUGACUACUCGAUAGUUCAGUGUGCCAUGCUUUACGGCUUAGAACCGGGUCUUCAACGACGUUUUGAACGUCAUGGAGCAUAUGAGAUGUUCCAGGAGUUGAAGUUAAUAUUUCAAGCAAAUGCCCGGAUUGAGAGAUAUGAAGUUUCCAAUAAGUUCUACAGCUGCAAGAUGGAAGAGAAUAGUUCUGUCAGUGAGCAUAUACUCAAAAUGUCUGGGUAUAACAAUCACUUGAUUCAACUGGGAGUUAAUCUUCCGGAUGAUAGUGUCAUUGACAGAAUUCUUAAAUCACUGCCACCAAGCUACAAGAGCUUCGUGAUGAACUAUAACAUGCAAGGGAUGGAUAAGACGAUUCCCGAGCUCUUCGCAAUGCUAAAGGCUGCGGAGGUAGAAAUCAAAAAGGAGCAUCAAGUGUUGAUGGUCAAUAAGACCACUAGUUUCAAGAAAAAGGGCAAAGGGAAGAAGAAGGGGAACUUCAAGAAGAACAGCAAGCAAGUUGCUGUUCAGGAGAAGAAACCCAAGUCUGGACCUAAGCCUGAGACUGAGUGCUUCUACUACAAGCAGACUGGUCACUGGAGGUGGAACUGCCCCAAGUAUUUGGCGGAUAAGAAGGAUGGCAAGGUGAACAAAGGUAUAUGUGAUAUACAUGUUAUUGAUGUGUACCUUACUAGAGCUCGCAGUAGCACCUUGGUAUUUGAUACUGGUUCUGUUGCUAAUAUUUGCAACUCGAAACAGGGACUACGGAUUAAGCGAACACUGGCCAAGGACGAGGUGACGAUGCGCGUGGGAAACGGUUCCAAAGUCGAUGUGAUCGCCGUCGGCACGCUACCUCUACAUCUACCUUCGGGAUUAGUAUUAGACCUAAAUAAUUGUUAUUUGGUGCCAGCGUUGAGCAUGAACAUUAUAUCUGGAUCUUGUUUGAUGCGAGACGGUUAUUCAUUUAAAUCAAAGAAUAAUGGUUGUUCUAUUUAUAUGAGUAAUAUUUUUUAUGGUCAUGCACCCUUGAAGAGUGGUCUAUUUUUAAUGAAUCUCGAUAGUAGUGAUACACAUAUUCAUAAUGUCGAAGCCAAAAGAUGCAGAGUUGAUAAUGAUAGUGCAACUUAUUUGUGGCACUGUCGUUUAGGUCAUAUCGGUGUAAAGCGCAUGAAGAAACUCCAUACUGAUGGACUUUUGGAAUCACUUGAUUAUGAAUCACUUGGUACUUGCGAACCGUGCCUCAUGGGCAAGAUGACUAAAACGCCGUUCUCCGAAACUAUGGAGAGAGCAACAGAUUUGUUGGAAAUCAUACAUACAGAUGUAUGUGGUCCGAUGAAUAAUGAGGCUCGUGGCGGAUAUCGUUAUUUUCUCACCUUCACAGAUGAUUUGAGCAGAUAUGGGUAUAUCUACUUAAGGAAACAUAAGUCUGAAACAUUUGAAAAGUUCAAAGAAUUUCAAAGUGAAGUUGAAAAUCACCGUAACAAGAAAAUAAAGUUUCAACGAUCAGAUCGUGGAGGAGAAUAUUUGAGUUACGAGUUUGGUCUACAUUUGAAACAAUGCGGAAUAGUUUCGCAACUCACGCCACCCGGAACACCACAAUGUAAUGGUGUGUCCGAACGUCGUAAUCAUACUUUACUAGAUAUGGUGCGAUCUAUGAUGUCUCUUACUGAUUUACCGCUAUCGUUUUGGGGUUAUGCUUUAGAGACGGCUGCAUUCACGUUAAAUAGGGCACCAUCGAAAUCCGUUGAGACGACGCCUUAUGAACUGUGGUUUGGCAAGAAACCAAAGUUGUCGUUUCUUAAAGUUUGGGGCUGCGAUGCUUAUGUGAAGAAGCUUCAACCUGAUAAGCUCGAACCUAAAUCGGAGAAAUGUGUCUUCAUAGGAUACCCAAAGGAGACUGUUGGGUACACCUUCUAUCACGGAUCCGAAGGCAAGACAUUCGUUGCUAAGAAUGGAUCCUUUCUAGAGAAGGAGUUUCUCUCGAAAGAAGUGAGUGGGAGGAAAGUAGAACUUGAUGAGGUAACUAUACCUGCUCCCUUAUUGGAAAAUAGUUCAUCACAGAAACCGGUUCCUGUGACACCUACACCAAUUAGUGAGGAAGUUAAUGAUGAUGAUCAUGGAACUUCAGAUCAAGUUGUUACUGAACCUCGUAGGUCAACCAGAGUAAGAUCCGCACUAGAGUGGUACGGUAAUCCUGUUCUGGAGGUUAUGUUACUAGACCAUGACGAACCUACGAACUAUGAAGAAGCGAUGGUGAGCCCAGAUUCCGCAAAAUGGCUUGAGGCCAUGAAAUCCGAGAUGGGAUCCAUGUAUGAGAACAAAGUAUGGACUUUGGUUGACUUGCCCAAUGAUCGGCAAGCCAUUGAAAAUAAAUGGAUCUUCAAGAAGAAGACUGACGCUGACGGUAAUGUUACUGUCUAUAAAGCUCGACUUGUUGCGAAAGGUUUUCGACAAGUUCAAGGGAUUGACUACGAUGAGACCUUCUCACCCGUAGCGAUGCUUAAGUCUGUCCAAAUCAUGUUAGCAAUUGCCGCAUUUCAUGAUUAUGAAAUUUGGCAAAUGGAUGUCAAAACUGCAUUCCUGAAUUGAUUUCUGGAAGAAGAGUUGUAUAUGAUGCAACCGGAAGGUUUUGUCGAUCCAAAGGGAGCUAACAAAGUGUGCAAGCUCCAACGAUCCAUUUAUGGACUGGUGCAAGCCUCUCGGAGUUGGAAUAAACGCUUUGAUAGUGUGAUCAAAGCAUUUGGUUUUGUACAGACUUUUGGAGAAGCCUGUAUUUACAAGAAAGUGAGUGGGAGCUCUGUAGCAUUUCUGAUAUUAUAUGUGGAUGACAUAUUGCUGAUUGGAAAUGAUAUAGAAUUUCUGGAUAGCAUAAAGGGAUACUUGAAUAAGAGUUUUUCAAUGAAAGACCUCGGUGAAGCUGCGUAUAUAUUGGGCAUCAAGAUCUAUAGAGAUAGAUCAAGACGCUUAAUUGGACUUUCACAAAGCACAUACCUUGACAAAGUUUUGAAGAAGUUCAAAAUGGAUCAAGCAAAGAAAGGUUUCUUGCCUGUGUUACAAGGUGUGAAGUUGAGUAAGACUCAAUGCCCGACCACUGCAGAAGAUAGAGAGAAGAUGAAAGAUGUUCCCUAUGCUUCAGCCAUAGGCUCUAUCAUGUAUGCAAUGCUGUGUACCAGACCUGAUGUGUGCCUUGCUAUAAGUCUAGCAGGAAGGUACCAAAGUAAUCCAGGAGUGGAUCACUGGACAGCGGUCAAGAACAUCCUAAAAUACCUGGAAAGGACUAAGGAUAUGUUUCUCGUUUAUGGAGGUGACAAAGAGCUCAUCGUAAAUGGUUACGUCGAUGCAAGCUUUGACACUGAUCCGGACGAUUCUAAAUCGCAAACCGGAUACGUGUUGACAUUGAACGGUGGAGCUGUCAGUUGGUGCAGUUCUAAACAAAGCGUCGUGGCGGGAUCUAUGUGUGAAGCGGAGUACAUAGUGCAUCGGGUCCAAUGAAGGAGUUCAUAUCCGAUCUAGGUGUCAUACCUAGUGCAUCGGGUCCAAUGAAAAUCUUUUGUGACAAUACUGGUGCAAUUGCCUUGGCGAAGGAAUCCAGAUUUCACAAGAGAACCAAGCACAUCAAGAGACGCUUCAAUUCCAUCCGGGAUCUAGUCCAGGUGGGAGAUAUAGAAAUUUUCAAGAUACAUACGGAUCUGAAUGUUGCAGACCCGUUGACUAAGCCUCUUCCACGAGCAAAACAUGAUCAGCACCAAGGCUCCAUGGGUGUUAGAAUCAUUACUGUGUAAUCUAGAUUAUUGACCUCAGAUCUGAGAUAGAAGGUAUACCCAAUCGUCUUGUUUGGGUAUUCUAUGAAGACAUAAUUUUCCGCUUUGGGUUCGAGCUUUUCUGGCCGAAGCCUAUCGACAUAAGCAUCAUAGCCCCAAACCUUAAGAAACAACAACUUAGGUUUCUUGCCAAACCAUAGUUCAUACGGUGUCGUCUCCACGGACUUAGAUGGUGCCCUAUUUAAAGUGAAUGUAAUUGUCUCUAAUGCAUAACCCCAAAAUGAUAGCGGUAGAUCAGUAAGAGACAUCAUAGAUCGCACCAUAUCCAAUAGGGUGCGACUACGACACUCGGACACACCAUUAAGCUAUGGUGUUCUAGGUGGCGUUAAUUGUGAAACGAUUCCACCUUGUCUUUAGUGAUUGCCAAACUCAUAACUCAGAUACUCUCCCCUUGAUCACAUCAGAGGAACUUGAUCUUCUUGUUAUGAUGAUUCUCGACUUCACUCUGAAAUUGCUUGAACUUUUCAAACGUUUCAAACUUAUGCUAUAUUAAGUAAAUAUAUCCAUAUCUACUCAAUUCAUCGGUGAAGGUGAGAAAAUAACGAUAUCCACUGCGUGCGUCAACACUCAUCGGACCGCACACAUCAGCAUGUGUGAUUUCCAACAAGUCACUUGCCUGUUCCAUUGUUCCAGAAAACGGGGUGUCAGUCAUCGUGCCUAUGAGGCAUGGUUCGCAUGUGUCAGGUGAUUCAAAAUCAAGUGACUCCAAAAUUCCAUUAGCAUGGAGGUUCUUCAUGCGCUUUACACCAAUAUGACCUAAGUGGCAGUGUCACAAGAAAGUGGUACUAUCAUUAUCAACUCUACAUCUUUUGGCAUCAAUGUUAUGAACAUGUGUAUCACUACGACCGAGAUUCAAUAAACCAUUCACAUUGGGUGCAUGACCAUAGAAGGUAUUAUUCAUGUAAACAGAAUAACAAUUAUUCUCUGUCUUAAAUGAAUAAUUGUAUUGCAAUAAACAUGAUCUAAUCAUGUUCACGCUCAACGCAGGCACCAAUGAAAACAACAUUUAUCUGGGUUCAACAUUAAUCCCGAAGGUAGAUGGAGUGUCCGAUGGUGAUUUUAUCAUCCUUGGAAACACUUCCAACACAUAUCGUCAGCUCGCCCUUAGCUAGUCUUCGUUUAUUCCGUAGCUUUUGUUUCGAGUUACCAAUAUUAGCAACUGAACCGGUAUCUAAUACCCAUGUGAUACUAGGAGUACUAGUAAGGUACACAUCAAUAACACAUAUAUCAAAUAUACUUUUGUUGAAGUUGCCAGCCUUCUUAUCUACCAAGUAUUUGAGGCAGAUCCGCUACCAGUGACCGUUCCCCUAAUAGAAGCACUUCGUCUCGGGUUUGGGUUCUUGGGUUUCUUCACUAGAGCGGCAACUAGCUUGCCAUUCAUGAAGUUUCCCUUCUUGCCCUUGCCUUCUUUGAAACUAGUGGUCUUGUUAACCAUCAACACUUGAUGCUCCUUCUUGACUUCUACCUUUACGGCCUUAAGCAUGACGAACAUCUCCGGGAUAAACUUCCCUUGCAUGUUAUAGUUCAUCACGAAGCUCUAGUUAGCUUGGUGAUAGUGACUAGAGAACUCCGUCAAUCACUUCUCUUAUCUGGAAGAUUAACUCCCACUUGAUUUAAGCGAUUGAAGUACCCAGAAAUUCUGAGCACAUGCUCACUGGCUGAGCUAUUCUCCUCCAUCUUGUAGGCAAAGACCUUGUCAGAGGUCUCAAACCUCUCAACACAGGCAUGAUCCUGAAAUACCAAUUUCAGCUCUUGGAACAUCUCAUAUGUUCCAUGGCGUUCAAAAUGCUUUUGGAGCCCCGACUCUAAGCCGCAAAGCAUGGCGCACUAAACUAUGAGGUAGUCAUCAGAACGUGUCUUCCAGGUGUUCACAACAUCCACGGACGACGCCAAAGGGGUUGGCACACCGAGCGGUGCAUCAAGGACAGAAGCCUUCUGUGUAGCAGUGAGGACAAUCCUCAGACUACGGCCCUAGUCCGCACAAUUGCUUACAAUAUCUUUCAACUAAGUCUUUCUCUCGGAACGUAUUAAAACAAGGAGCUAAAGCGCGAGCUAUUAAACCACAACAUAAUUUGCAAAGACAAUUUAGACUAGGUUCAUGAUAAUUAAGUUCAUCUAAUCAAAUUAUUCAAUGAACUCCCACUCAGAUAGACAUCCCUCUAGUCAUCUAAGUGAUACAUGAUCCGAAUCGACUAGGCCGUGUCCGAUCAUCACGUGAGACGGACUAGUCAUCAACGGUGAACAUCUCCAUGUUGAUCGUACUACUAUAUGACUUAUGUUCAACCUUUCGGUCUCUUGUGUUCCGAGGCCAUGUCUGUACAUGCUAGGCUCGUCAAGUCAACCUAAGUGUUUCGCAUGUGUAAAUCUGGCUUACACCCGUUGUAUGUGAACGUUAGAAUCUAUCACACCCAAUCAUCACAUGGUGCUUCAAAACAACGAACCUUCGCAAUGGUGCACAGUUAGGGGGAACACAUUUCUUGAAAUUUUAGUGAGGGAUCAUCUUAUUUAUGCUACCGUCGUUCUAAGCAAAUAAGAUGUAAACAUGACAGACAUCACAUGCAAAUCAUAAAGUGACAUGAUAUGGCCAAUAUCAUCUUGUGCCUUUUGAUCUCCAUGCUCGAGGCGCGGCAUGAUCACCUUCGUCACCGGCAUGACACCAUGAUCUCCAUCAUCGUAUCUUCAUGAAGUUGUCUCGCCAACUAUUACUUCUACUACUAUGGCUAACGGUUAGCAAUAAAGUAAAGUAAUUACAUGGCGUUUUCAUUGACACGCAGUGUUGGGAAUCGUAGCAUAAUUUAAAAUUUUCCUACGCUCACCAAGAUGCAUCUAUGGAGUCUACUAGCAACGAGGGGAAAGGAGUGGAUCUACAUACCCUUGUAGAUCGCGAGCGGAAGCGUUCCAAUGAACGUGGAUGACGGAGUCGUACUCGCCGUGAUCCAAAUCACCGAUGACCGAGUGCCGAACGGACGGCACCUCCGCGUUCAACACACGUACGGUGCAGCGACGUCUCCUCCUUCUUGAUCCAGCAAGGGGGAAGGAGAGGUUGAUGGAGAUCCAACAGCACGACGGCGUGGUGGUGGAUGUAGCGGCUCUCCGGCAGGGCUUUGCAAGCUUCUGAGAGAGAGAGAGGUGUUGCAGGGGAGGAGGGAGGCGCCCAAGGCUUAGAUGUUGCUGCCCUCCCUUCCCCCCACUAUAUAUAGGGCCAAGGGAGAGGGGGGGGCGCAGCCUUGCCCCUUCCUUCAAGGAAGGGUGCGGCCAGGGGGGAGUCCUUCCCCCCCCAAGGCACCUCGGAGGUGCCUUCCCCCUUUAGGACUCUCCCUUCUUUCUUAUCUCUUGCGCAUGGGCCUCUUGGGGCUGGUGCCCUUGGCCCAUAUAGGCCAAGGCGCACCCCUUACAGCCCAUGUGGCCCCCCGGGGCUGGUGGACCCCCUUGGUGGACCCCCGGACCCCUUUCGGCACUCCCGGUACAAUACCGAUAAAGCGCGAAACUUUUCCGGCGACCAAAAUAAGACUUCCCAUAUAUAAAUCUUUACCUCCGGACCAUUCCGGAACCUCUCGUGACGUCCGGGAUCUCAUCCGGGACUCCAAACAACUUUCGGGUUUCCGCAUACAUAUAUCUCUACAACCCUAGCGUCACCGGACCUUAAGUGUGUAGACCCUACGGGUUCGGGAGACAUGCAGACAUGACCGAGACGCCUCUCCGGUCAAUAACCAACAGCGGGAUCUGGAUACCCAUGUUGGCUCCCACAUGUUCCACGAUGAUAUCAUCGGAUGAACCACGGUGUCGAGGAUUCAAUCAAUCUGUAUGCAAUUCCCUUUGUCAAACGGUAUGUUACUUGCCCGAGAUUCGAUCGUCGGUAUCCCAAUACCUAGUUCAAUCUCGUUACCGGCAAGUCUCUUUACUCGUACCGCAAUGCAUGAUCCCGUGACUAACGCCUUAGUCACAUUGAGCUCAUUAUGAUGAUGCAUUACCGAGUGGGCCCAGAGAUACCUCUCCGUUUACACGGAGUGACAAAUCCCAGUCUCGAUCCGUGCCAACCCAACAGACACUUUCGGAGAUACCCGUAAUGCACCUUUAUAGUCACCCAGUUACGUUGUGACGUUUGGCACACCCAAAGCACUCCUACGGUAUCCGGGAGUUGCACGAUCUCAUGGUCUAAGGAAAAGAUACUUGACAUUGGAAAAGCUCUAGCAAACGAAACUACACGAUCUUUUAUGCUAUGCUUAAGUUGGGUCUUAUCCAUCACAUCAUUCUCCUAAUGAUGUGAUCCCGUUAUCAAUGACAUCCAAUGUCCAUAGUCAGGAAACCAUGACUAUCUGUUGAUCAACGAGCUAGUCAACUAGAGGCUUACUAGGGACAGGUUGUGGUCUAUGUAUUCACACAUGUAUUACGAUUUCCGGACAAUACAAUUAUAGCAUGAAUAAUAGACAAUUACCAUGAACAAAGAAAUAUAAUAAUAACCAUUUAUUAUUGCCUCUAGGGCAUAUUUCCAACAGUCUCCCACUUGCACUAGAGUCAAUAAUCUAGUUCACAUCACCAUGUGAUUAACAUUCACUGGUCACAUCACCAUGUGACCAACAUCUAAAGAGUUUACUAGAGUCAACAAUCUAGUUCACAUCACUAUGUGAUUAACACUCAAUGUGUUCUGGUUUGAUCAUGUUAUGCUUGUGAGAGAGGUUAUUAGUCAACGGGUCUGAACCUUUCAGAACCGUGUGCUUUACGAAUAUCUAUGUCAUCUUGUGGAUGCUACCAUGCGCUAUUUGGAGCCAUUUCAAAUAAUUGCUCUACUAUACGAAUCCGGUUUACUACUCAGAGUUAUCCGGAUUAGUGUCAAAGUUCGCAUCGACGUAACCCUUUACGACGAACUCCUUUCCACCUCCAUAAUCGAGAAAAUUCCUUAAUCCACUAGGUACUAAGGAUAAGUUCGACCGCUGUCAUGAGAUCCUUUCCCGAAUCACCAUUGUACCCCCUUGACCAACUCAUGGCAACGCACACUACAUGUGCGGUACACAGCAUAGCAUACUAUAGAGCCUACGUCUAAAGCAUAGGGGACGACCUUCGUCCUUUCUCUAUCUUCUGCUGUGGUCAGGUCUUGAGUCUCACUCAAUACUCACACCUUGUAACACAGCCAAGAACUCCUUGUUUGCUGAUCUAUUUUGAACUCUUUCAAAAUCAUGUUAAGGUGUGCUGUCUUUUGAAAGUAUCAUCAGGCGUCUUGAUCUAUCUCUAUGGAUCUUGAUGCCCAAUAUGUAAGUAGCUUUAUCCAGGUCUUCCUUUGAAAAACUCCUUUCAAACAACCCUUUAUGCUUUCCAGAAAUUUUACAUCUUUUGGGAUCAACAAUAUGUCAUUCACAUAUACUUAUCAGAAAUGUUGUAGCGCUCCCACUCACUUUAUUGUAAAUACAAGUUUCUAACAAACUUUGUAUAAACCCAAAAACUUUGAUCACUCCAUCAAAGCGUAUAUUCUGACUCCGAGAUGCUUGCUCUAAUCCAUGGAAGGAUCGCUGGAGCUAGCAUACCUUUUAGCAUCCUUAGGAUCGACAAAACCUUUCUGAUUGUAUCACAUACAACCUUUCCUUACGAAAACUGGUAAGGAAACCUGUUUUGACAUCCAUCUGCCAGAUUUCAUAAAUGUAGCUAAUGCUAACAUGAUUCCGACAGACCUAGGCAUCGCUACGGAUGAGAAAAACUCAUCGUAGUCAACUCCUUGAACUUGUGAAAAUACUCUUUGCCACAAGUCGAGCUUCAUAGACGGUAACAUUACCGUCCAUGUCCGUCUUCUUCUUAAAGAUCCAUUUAUCUCAAUGGCUUGCUGAUCAUCGGGCAAGUUCACCAAAGUCCAUGCUUUGUUCUGAUACAUGGAUUCUAUCUCGGAUUUCAUGGCCUCGAGCCAUUCAUCGGAAUAUGGGCCCACCAUCGCUUCUCCAUAGCUCGUAGGUUCAUUGUUGUCUAGCAACAUGACUUCCAAGACAGGAUCACGCAUUACUCUGAAGUAGUGCGCAUCCUCGUCGUCCUACGAGGUUUGGUAGUGACUUGAUCCGAAGUUUCAUGAUCACUAUCAUAAGCUUCCACUUCAAUUGGUGUAGGUGCCACAGGAACAACUUCCUGUGCCCUGCUACACAUUAGUUGAAGCGACGGUUCAAUAACCUUAUCAAGUCUCCACCAUCCUCCCACUCAAUUCUUUCGAGAGAAACUUUUCCUCGAGAAAGGACUCGUUUCUAGAAGCAAUUACUUUUGCUUCCAGAUAGGAGGUAUACCCAACUGUUUUUGGGUAUUCUAUGAAGAUGCAUUUAUCCGCUUUGGGUUCGAGCUUAUCAGCCUGAAACUUUUUCACAUAAGCAUCGCAGCCCCAAACUUUUAAGAAACGACAACUUAGGUUUCUAUAAACGGUGUCGUCUCAACGGAAUUACGUGGUGCCACUUUUAAAGUGAAUGCGGUUGUCUCUAAUGCCUAACCCAUAAAUGAUAGUGGUAAUUUGAUAAGAAACAUUAUGGUAUGCACCAUAUCCAAUAGGGUGCAGUUAUUAUGUUCGGACACACCAUCACACUAUGGUGUUCCAGGCGGUAUUAAUUGUGAAACACUUUCCACAAUGUCUCAAUUGUGUGCCAAACUCGUAUCUCAGAUACUCAUCUCUAUGAUCAUAUCACAGACAUUUUAUCCUCUUGUUACGACGAUCUUCAACUUCACUCUGAAAUUACUUGAACCUUUCAAUAAUUCAGACUAGUGUUUCAUCAAGUAAAUACACUCAGCAUCUACUCAAAUCAUCUGUGAAGUAAGAACAUAACGAUGUCCACUGCAUGCCUCAGCACUCAUUGGACUGCAUACAUCAAAAUGUAUUACUUCCAAUAAGUUGCUCUCUUGUUCCAUCUUACUGAAAACGAGGCCUUUCAGUCAUCUUGCCCAUGAUUUGCAUGUCUCAAGUGAUUCAAAAUCAAGUGAGUCCAAACGAUCCAUCUGCAUGGAGUUUCUUCAUGCAUAUAUACCAAUAGACAUGGUUCGCAUGUCUCAUUCAUUUCAAAAACGAGUGAGUCCAAAGAUCCAUCUACAUGGAGCUUCUUCAUGCGUUCUAUACCAAUAUGACUCAAGUGGCAGUGCCACAAGUAUGUGGUACUAUCAUUACUAUCUUAUAUCUUUUUGGCAUGAACAUGUGAAUCACUACGAUCGAGAUUCAUUUUAGGUGCAAGACCAUUGAAGGUAUUAUUCAAAUAAAUAGAGUAACCAUUAUUCUUCUUAAAUGAAUAACCGUUUUGCGGUAAACAUAAUCCAAUCAUGUUCAACGCAAACACCAAAUCUCGAUAGUAGAGGGAGCAUGCGAUGCUUGAUCACAUCAACCUUGGAAACACUUCCAAUACAUAUCGUCAUCUCACCUUUAGCUAGUCUCCAUUUAUUUCGCAGCUUUUAUUUCGAGUUACUAACACUUAGCAACCGAACCAGUAUCUAAUACCCUGGUGCUGCUAGGAGUACUAGUAAAGUACACAUUCGUAUAACGUAUAUCCAAUAUACUUCUGUCGACCUUGCCUGCCUUCUCAUCUACCAAAUAUCUAGGGUAUUACUGCUUCAGUGACCGUUCCUCUCAUAGAAGCACUUAGUCUCGGGUUUGGGUUCAACCUUGGGAUUCUACACUAGAGCAGCAAACGACUUGCUGUUUCAUGAAGUAUCCCUUUUGCCCUUGCCCUUCUUAAACUAGUGGUUUUACUAACCAUCAACAAUUGAUGCUCCUUCUUGAUUUCUACUCUCGCGGUGUCAAACAUCGCGAAUAGCUCAAGGAUCAUCAUAACUAUCCUUGAUAUGUUAUAGUUCAUCACGAAGCUCUACUAGCUUGGUGGCAAUGACUAUGGGGAACUAUCACUAUCUCAUCUGGGAGAUUAACUCCCACUCGAUUCAAGCGAUUGUGGCACUCAGACAAUCUGAGCACACGCUCAACGAUUGAGCUUUUCUCCCUUAGUUUGCAGGCUUAAGAAACUUGUCAGAGGUCUCAUACCUCUUGACGUGGGCACUAGUCUGAAAUCCCAAUUUCAGUCUUCGGAACAUCUCUCAUGUUCUGCGACGUUUCAAAACGUCUUUGGUGCCACAAUUCUAAACCGCACUGAACUAUCACGUAGUCAUCAAAACGUGUAUGUCAGAUGUUUCGUAACAUCUACAGACGACGCUGAGGUUCAGCACACCGAGCGGUGCAUUAAGGACAUAAGCCUUCUGUGCAGUAAUGAGGACAAUCCUCAGUUUACGGACCCAGUCCGCAUAAUUGCUACUACCAACUUUCAACUAAAUUUUCUCUAGGAACAUAUCUUAAUCAGUAGAACUAAAGCGCAAGCUAUGACAUAAUUUGCAAAUACCUUUUUGACUAUGUUCAUGAUAAUGAAGUUCAUCUGAUUAUGAACUCCCACUCAGAUAGACAUCCCUCUAGUCAUCUAAGUGAAACAUGAUCCGAGUUUAACUAGGCCGUGUCCGAUCAUCACGUGAGACGGACUAGUCAAGAUCGGUGAACAUCUCCAUGUUGAUCGUAUCUUCUAUACGACUCAUGCUCGACCUUUCGGUCCUCCAUGUUCCGAGGCCAUGUCUGUACAUGCUAGGCUCGUCAAGUCAACCUAAGUGUAUUGCGUGUGUGCCGAGGCCAUGUCUGUACAUGCUAGGCUCGUCAACACCCGUUGUAUUCGAACGUAAGAAUCUAUCACACCCGAUCAUCACGUGGUGCUUCGAAACGACGAACCUUCGCAACGGUGCACAGUUAGGGUGAACACUUUCUUGAAAUUAUUAUAAGGGAUCAUCCUACUUGCUACCGUCGUUCUAAGCAAAUAAGAUGCAAAAAUAUGAUAAACAUCACAUGCAAUCAAAUAGUGACAUGAUAUGGCCAAUAUCAUCAUGCUCCUUUGAUCUCCAUCUUCGGGGCACCAUGAUCAUCUUUGUCACCGGCAUGACACCCUGAUCUCCAUCAUCAUGAUCUCCAUCAUUGUGUCUUUAUGAAGUCGUCACGCUAACGAUUACUUCUACUUCUAUGGCUAACGCGUUUAGCAACAAAGUAAAGUAAUUUACAUGGCGUUAUUCAAUGACACGCAGGUCAUACAAAAUAAUAAAGACAACUCCUAUGGCUCCUGCCGGUUGUCAUACUCAUCGACAUGCAAGUCGUGAUUCCUAUUACAAGAAUAUGAUCAAUCUCAUACAUCAUAUAUAUCAUUCAUCACAUCUUCUGGCCAUAUCACAUCACAUAGCACUUGCUGCAAAAACAAGUUAGACGUCCUCUAAUUGUUGUUGCAAGUUUUUUACGUGGUUUGUAGGUUUCUAGCAAGAACGUUUCUUACCUACGUAUGACCACAACGUGAUUUGCCAAUUUCUAUUUACCCUUCAUAAGGACCCUUUUCAUCGAAUCCGUUCCGACUAAAGUAGGAGAGACAGACACCCGCUAGCCACCUUAUGCAUCUAGUGCAUGUCAGUCGAUGGAACCUGUCUCACGUAAGAGUACGUGUAAGGUCGGUCCGGGCCGCUUCAUCCUACAAUGCCGCCGAAACAAGAAAAGACUAGUAGCGGCAAGAAGAAUUGGCAAACUCAACGCCCACAACUGCUUUGUGUUCUACUCGUGCAUAGUAACUACGCAUAGACCUGGCUCAUGAUGCCACUGUUGGGAAUCGUAGCAUAAUUUAAAAUUUUCCUACGCUCACCAAGAUGCAUCUAUGGAGUCUACUAGCAACGAGGGGAAAGGAGUGGAUCUACAUACCCUUGUAGAUCGCGAGCGGAAGCGUUCCAAUGAACGUGGAUGACGGAGUCGUACUCGCCGUGAUCCAAAUCACCGAUGACCGAGUGCCGAACGGACGGCACCUCCGCGUUCAACACACGUACGGUGCAGCGACGUCUCCUCCUUCUUGAUCCAGCAAGGGGGAAGGAGAGGUUGAUGGAGAUCCAACAGCACGACGGCGUGGUGGUGGAUGUAGCGGGUCUCCGGCAGGGCUUCGCCGAGCUUCUGCGAGAGAGAGAGGUGUUGCAGGGGAGGAGGGAGGCGCCCAAGGCUUAGAUGUUGCUGCCCUCCCUUCCCCCCACUAUAUAUAGGGCCAAGGGAGAGGGGGGGCGCAGCCUUGCCCCUUCCUUCAAGGAAGGGUGCGGCCAGGGGGGAGUCCUUCCCCCCCAAGGCACCUCGGAGGUGCCUUCCCCCUUUAGGACUCUCCCUUCUUUCUUAUCUCUUGCGCAUGGGCCUCUUGGGGCUGGUGCCCUUGGCCCAUAUAGGCCAAGGCGCACCCCUUACAGCCCAUGUGGCCCCCCGGGGCUGGUGGACCCCCUUGGUGGACCCCCGGACCCCUUUCGGCACUCCCGGUACAAUACCGAUAAAGCGCGAAACUUUUCCGGCGACCAAAAUAAGACUUCCCAUAUAUAAAUCUUUACCUCCGUACCAUUCCGGAACCUCUCGUGACGUCCGGGAUCUCAUCCGGGACUCCGAACAACUUUCGGGUUUCCGCAUACAUAUAUCUCUACAACCCUAGCGUCACCGGACCUUAAGUGUGUAGACCCUACGGGUUCGGGAGACAUGCAGACAUGACCGAGACGCCUCUCCGGUCAAUAACCAACAGCGGGAUCUGGAUACCCAUGUUGGCUCCCACAUGUUCCACGAUGAUAUCAUCGGAUGAACCACGGUGUCGAGGAUUCAAUCAAUCCGUAUGCAAUUCCCUUUGUCAAACGGUAUGUUACUUGCCCGAGAUUCGAUCGUCGGUAUCCCAAUACCUUGUUCAAUCUCGUUACCGGCAAGUCUCUUUACUCGUACCGCAAUGCAUGAUCCCGUGACUAACGCCUUAGUCACAUUGAGCUCAUUAUGAUGAUGCAUUACCGAGUGGGCCCAGAGAUACCUCUCCGUGACAAAUCCCAGUCUCGAUCCGUGCCAACCCAACAGACACUUUCGGAGAUACCCGUAAUGCACCUUUAUAGUCACCCAGUUACGUUGUGACGUUUGGCACACCCAAAGCACUCCUACGGUAUCCGGGAGUUGCACGAUCUCAUGGUCUAAGGAAAAGAUACUUGACAUUGGAAAAGCUCUAGCAAACGAAACUACACGAUCUUUUAUGCUAUGCUUAAGUUGGGUCUUGUCCAUCACAUCAUUCUCCUAAUGAUGUGAUCCCGUUAUCAAUGACAUCCAAUGUCCAUAGUCAGGAAACCAUGACUAUCUGUUGAUCAACGAGCUAGUCAACUAGAGGCUUACUAGGGACAGGUUGUGGUCUAUGUAUUCACACAUGUAUUACGAUUUCCGGACAAUACAAUUAUAGCAUGAAUAAUAGACAAUUACCAUGAACAAAGAAAUAUAAUAAUAACCAUUUAUUAUUGCCUCUAGGGCAUAUUUCCAACACGCAGGUCAUAUAAUAAAUUAAGACAACUCCUAUGGCUCCUGCCGGUUGUCAUACUCAUCGACAUGCAAGUCGUGAUUCCUAUUACAAGAACAUGAUCAAUCUCAUACAUCACAUAUAUCAUAAUUCAUCACAUCCUUUUGGCCAUAUCACAUCACAUAGCAUACCCUGCAAAAACAAGUUUGACGUCCUCUAAUUGUUGUUGCAUGUUUUACGUGGCUGCUAUGGGUUUCUAGCAAGAACGUUUCUUACCUACGCAAAAGCAACAAUGGUGAUAUGCCAAUUGCUAUUUACCCUACAUAAGGACCCUCUUCAUCGAAUCCGAUCCAACUGAAGUGGGAGAGACAGACACCCGCUAGCCACCUUAUGCAUCAAGUGCAUGUCAGUCGGUGAAACCUGUCUCACGUAAGAGUACAUGUAAGGUCAGUCCGAGCCGCUUCAUCCCACAGUGCCACUGUAACGCCCGGAUAAUCAAGCUACAGUAAUCCCACGCCAAUGGUGCCACGUCACCACAGUUACUGUUGCUAAUCUACCGUUAGGUCAAACCGUUUCAAAAUUCAAAUUCAAAAUCAAGCAAACAAUAAAAGUUUUCAAAUAUUAAAACUAAAAUGUUCUUCAUGUGCCAAAUAAUCCAUACCUAAUAUUGGUAGUGAACCAACAUUUUUGCAAAUGUCUAAGUGCACUAAACCACUUUAAAAUAGUGGCUAAAACUAUAGUUUAAAUGCCUUUUUAGUUUAUGAAGGUUGCAAACUAUUUCAAAAGCCUGACAAUCUUUUUGUGGCAGUGCCCAAUAAUUCUUUGAAAUUGUUUUGGCCAGUGGCAUAAUUUUGCAAUGUCAUUAUUGGCUAAACAGAAAAUGCAAAAGCUGCUGAAAAUAAAAAGAAAAGCAAAGAAAAAAAAAGGAAAAGCAGAGAGAGGGAAAGCCCCUGCCUCACUUGGGCUUCGGCCCACCCGAGCCAGCUGGCCCGGCAGGCCGGCCCACUCCCCCCUCACCGGUCGCUCCCUCCCCUUCCUGUUCCUCUGCUCCGUGUCGCUACAGGGGCGAGGUCGACCCUGACCUCCUCGCCGGCCUCGCCGGGAGAGGAUAAGGGCAAAGCCACAGGCUCCCCUCGUCUCCCCACCCCACAUGNNNNNNNNNNNNNNNNNNNNNNNNNNNNNNNNNNNNNNNNNNNNNNNNNNNNNNNNNNNNNNNNNNNNNNNNNNNNNNNNNNNNNNNNNNNNNNNNNNNNNNNNNNNNNNNNNNNNNNNNNNNNNNNNNNNNNNNNNNNNNNNNNNNNNNNNNNNNNNNNNNNNNNNNNNNNNNNNNNNNNNNNNNNNNNNNNNNNNNNNNNNNNNNNNNNNNNNNNNNNNNNNNNNNNNNNNNNNNNNNNNNNNNNNNNNNNNNNNNNNNNNNNNNNNNNNNNNNNNNNNNNNNNNNNNNNNNNNNNNNNNNNNNNNNNNNNNNNNNNNNNNNNNNNNNNNNCCCCGCCUCUGUUCGAGAUGCCCGAGCGCCCCCCUCGCCAUCGAUCGCCGUAGCCGUGGCCACCGUCGUCCGUUCGUCUCCCCGGCAAGUCCUACAGCUCCGCCGUGGUCCUCUGCUUCCACUACACCGCCGGAUCGAGCCCCGGAGCCCCUCGAGUCGCCGCACUCUUCUUCUUCUCCGGCUCGGCCACCACAUCGUCCUCGUCCUUGAUCUACGCCACCGGUCCUCCCCAAGCCCUUUGCCCAGACCCCACGCUCCCCCGGUGAGCUCCUGCGGCGAACGCGCCGUCCCCUGCCCUCUCUAGCCGCCCGUAGCCACUACCCCGACGAAGCCCGAACCACCGCCGCCUCGUUUGGUCGCCGGCGCGUCUCCGGUGACCUUUUGGUCACGGGCUAGUGCCCAACGUGCUCGCCGCGCUGCUUAGAGAACACCCUGCCCUUCCGUUCAAGCUGCUACACGCCGUAGCUCCGUUUUCAUCGAGCACCCGUGCACGCCGCCACCUCCGCCGCUCACUGGCGCCGAUUCCGGCCAAGUCCGGCGAUGCUACCGCCACCACUGGAUGCGGCGCUGAGAGCUUGUUCGAAUGAGACUAGCCCCGCUCCUCCCCGAGCCCUGUACGCGUUUUCCGGCGAGAUCCGAGCCGCGCCGCCGCGUUUGGCAUCGCCGGCGUUGAGCCGCCGGCCGCGCUGAGCUGGCACACCUGGGGCCACCCUCUGGGUCACUGCCAGUGGGCCCCCUGGCCCCCUGUUGACCAGUUGACAUGGUCAACUAGGCUGACUGGGCAGGCCCCAGCCACUGACGUGUGAGCCCCACCGCUUAAUCCUAUAAUUAAAACAUUUUAAUAAUUAAAACCUAAUUAGUUUCUAAUUAGAGACUGACAUGUGGGGCCCAGUAACUAUUUAAACUCAAAUUAGUUUAAUUUAAACUCUGUUAAUUAACAGUGGCUGACAUGUGGGCGCCACCUGUCUGGUUUGACUGGUCAGCCGACCUGUUGACCUGCUGACGUCAGCAUUGCACCAUGCUGAUGUCAUAAUUCCCUUUUCUGUUAAUUUAAAUAAUUCCAGAAAAUGGUUUAAUCUUUGAAAAUUCAUAUAAAAUAAUCCGUAACUCGGAUGAAAAUGGUUUCUACAUGAAAGUUGCUCAGAACGACGAGACGAAUCCGAAUACGCAGCCCGUUCGUUCACCACACGUCCCUAGCAUAGUGAACCUGCAACAUUUCACCUCCGGUCCAUCUAUCCGAAAAUGCGAUACAUCGGGAAUACUUUCCCGGAUGUCCCCCCCUCCGCCGGUACCACCUACUGCCGCGUUAGGGCACACCUAGUACCGCUCAUUGUCAUGUCACGCAUCGUCAUGCUUAUGUUUGCAUUGUAUUUACUGUUUCUUCCCCCUCUUCUCUCCGGUAGACUACGAGACCGACGCUGCUGCCCAGUUCGACUACGGAGUUGACGACCCCUCCUACUUGCCAGAGCAACCAGGCAAGCCCCCGCCCUUGAUCUAUACUGCUUGCAUUAGAGUAGUGUAGCAUGUUACUGCUUUCCGUUAAUCCUAUCCUGAUGCAUAGCCUGUCCUUGCUACUACUGUUGUUACCUUUAACUGCAAUCCUACAUGCUUAGUAUAGGAUGUUAGUUUUCCAUCAGUGGCCCUACAUUCUUGUCCAUCUGCUGUGCUAUACUAUCGGGCCGUGAUCACUUGGGGGUGAUCACGUGUAUAUACUUAUAUACUAUAUACAUGACACCUGUGGUGACUAAAGUCGGGUCGGCUCGUAGGAGUACCCGCAAGUGGAUCUUUGUGGCGGAGCGACAGGGCAGGUUGAGACCACCUAGGCGAGAGGUGGGCCUGGCCCUGGACGGCGUCCGUGGUUACUUCAAAAUAACACGCUUAACGAGUUCUUGGUAUUUGAUCUGAGUCUGGCCAUUUGGUCUAUACGCACUAACCAACUACGCGGGAACAGUUAUGGGCACUCGACGUCGUGGUAUCAGCCGAAGCCUUCGUGAUGUCAGCGACUGAGUGGCGCGCGCCGGAUUAGACUGGAACGCCACUAGGCUAGGUCUGCUUCCGGCCGCGUUCGCAACGUGCAGGUGUGCAAUGGGCGAUCGGCCCAGACCCCUGCUCCAUAGGAUUUAGACCGGCGUGUUGACCUCUCUGUUGUGCCUAGGUGGGGCUGCGACGUGUUGAUCUUACGAGGCCGGGCAUGACCCAGAAAAGUGUGUCCGGCCAAAUGGGAUCGAGCGUGUUGGGUUAUGUGGUGCACCCCUGCAGGGAAGUUUAUCUAUUCGAAUAGCCGUGUCCCUUGGUAAAAGGACGACCCGGAGUUGUACCUUGACCUUAUGACAAUUAGAACCGGAUACUUAACAAAAUACACCCUUCCAAGUGCCAGAUACAACCCGGUGAUCGCUCUCUAACAGGGCGACGAGGAGGGGAUCGCCGGGUAGGAUUAUGCUAUGUGAUGCUACUUGGAGGACUUCAAUCUACUCUCUUCUACAUGCUGCAAGAUGGAGAUGGCCAGAAGCGUAGUCUUCGACAGGAUUAGCUAUCCCCCUCUUAUUCUGGCAUUCUACAGUUCAGCCCACUGAUAUGCCCCUUUACACAUAUACCCAUGCAUAUGUAGUGUAGCUCCUUGCUUGCGAGUACUUUGGAUGAGUACUCACGGUUGCUUCUCUCCCUCUUUUCCCCCUUUCCAUUCUACCUGGUUGUCGCAACCAGAUGUUGGAGUCCAGGAGCCAGAUGCCACCGUCGACGACAACACCUACGGCACUGGAGGUGCCUACUACUACGUGCAGUCCGCUGACGACGACCAGGAGUAGUUAGGAGGAUCCCAGGCAGGAGGCGUGCGCCUCGUUCGAUCUGUAUCCCAGUUUGUGCUAGCCUUCUUAAGGCAAACUUGUUUAACUUAUGUCUGUACUCAUAUAUUGUUGCUUCCGCUGACUCGUCUAUGAUCGAGCACUUGUAUUCGAGCCCUCUGGCUUGUAUUAUGAUGCUUGUAUGACUUAUUUAUGUUGUAGAGGUGUGUUGUGAUAUCUUCCCGUGAGUCCCUGAUCUUGAUCGUACACAUUUGCGUGCAUGAUUAGUGUACGGUCAAAUCGGGGGCAUCACAAGUUGGUAUCAGAGCCGACUGCCUGUAGGAAUCCCCGUAUCCACACUCCUUGGCCGAAGUCGAGUGUAGGCAUUACGAUUUUUUUUACUAACAUGGUUGUGUGUCUUACGGGCCCACGCCGCCAUUGGGUGGUACUAGGAUCUUUUACUCCUCGACCUUUACUCUGGGACUCUGAACUCUCUUCUACUCGGGUUAAACGAAUUUACUAACUCUAACACUAGGGUCCCGUGACCGCAUUCACCCCAAAGUUGGAUAAGCCAUAGUUGUUUCUUAGAAUAGUAUUUUGAACAAUUCACACACUGUCAUUUGACUCCUUUGAAACAUCUUUGCUUUCAGAUGGAACCCACGAGGCAGGUCGUGCGCCACACGACGGCCAUUGGUGCCUCGGGAUCACCUGCUGUGCUAGCUGAGAUGAUGACCUAUCUGGGUUAUCGCUGGCACCCUGAGUACAUCGUCUACGAGGAGUACCAGGACUUUAACCAGGAGCAGUACCGUGCCAUCGUCCACCUCUACUCGCGAGAGUAUGACUCCACUACUGUGCUGCACACCGCUCAUGGUGUUGGAGUGACCAUCGAUAUGGCUGUCCACGAUGCUGCCUAUGCUACUCUGACACGUCUUCGUGGAGAGUAUCGGGAGUUGGACACCUCCCCUUUCAGGCACAUUGCUAUCGCAUCUGAUGUUGGUGCGGAGGGAUACUAUACUGCUGCCUACUCCACUGUCACCCGAGAGCCCUUCUACCAUAAGAACCUGGUUCUGCAUGCUGAUGGGCUGGAUCGAGCUAACCCAGCUCUUCGCGACGAGUUGUACACCACCCAUCAGCACCUUUAUCGUGCUCUGACGCCGUUGCACCCCUUUGUCCGAUCUAGGGAGCCGCCCCGUUCUGCGAUCUACCCAGCCAGGACUGUGAUGCCCUAGGGUGUCGGCUGGCCAGAUGUGGGAGGCCACUCUCCCGCACUUGGACCUCUUCUGCCACCUGAGCGUCAGGUUCUGCACCAGAGUAUUCGCGGAUCCCAGGUUGCUGACGUGGAGUUCCCGAUGCGACACUACCAGCUUUCAGGCUACACCUACCUCCACAGUACCUCUUGGGACUGAUGUAGGCUUGCUUGUUAGUGUUAGAUGCAUUCGCCGCGAGCCUGUGUGCCGCCUAUGUUGUUUUAGUCUUUGUACUGAACUCUGUGUACUGAACUCUAUGCAUGACCCCUUUUGUAAGUUAUGCCGACUACUAUGUAGUAGCUAUCGUGCUCCUUUCAUUAUGCAUGUUUCAUCAUGAAUGAUUCUUUUCUUUGCAAAUUUCUCAAUGCUGAACUACCCCUGUUAUAUAUUAGCAGGAUGGUUAGAACAGGUGGUCGUGGUAGUGGUGGCAAUGCCCCACCACCACCUGAGUACAUGGCUGGUAUGAUCCAACAGUUAGAACUGAACGGCCAAAUCAUGGAAAAUAUGAUGGCUCGGUUUCCUCGCCCCAAUAUGGACCAGCAACCAACCCCAGUAACUCUGCAGGAUUUCAUGCGCCUCGAUCCAACUGUGUACCGCAGCUCAACUCAGCCUCUGGAUGCUGAUGACUGGCUCCGUGACAUCACCUAUGAGAUGGAGUCUGCCGUUGUAGCCCCUGCCAGCUAUGUCACCUUUGCUUCCUUCUUUCUGAAGGGACCCGCAGCUCAAUGGUGGGACAGCCACAUGCGUACUCUGCCAGCUGGAACAAUCAUCACCUGGCCAGACUUCCAAGCAGCUUUUCGUGCCCGCUUCAUUCCUCAGGGAGUCAUGGACCGGAAGAAGCGUGAGUUCCGCAACCUCAUCCAAGGCAACAAAACUGUUGCAGCUUAUCAGCGGGAGUUUCUGGACUUGUCUCGCUAUGCUGAAGAGGACAUUGCAACUGAUGCACGCAGACUGGAGAAGUUCCGUGAUGGCCUUCAAGCUGACAUCAAGCUCGCACUGCUAGUGCAUGAUUUUGCUGAUUUCGCCACCUUGGUGAACAAGGCCAUCAAUGUCGAAACUGGUCUGCAGGAAUACCAGAGCUCUCACAGGCGCAACCGUGACACGGGCUCAUCUUCGGGCCCGCCCUCACAGAAGCGUAAGAUAUGGAUCCCGAACAGCAUGUACCGUCCAAAUGCAUCUGCCCCAAGGCAGACCUAUGCUACACCUCGUCUGCCUCCACCACCAUCUAGGCAGUCAAGACUUCCAGCUCUACCACCCCAAGCUCCUGUUCCCACUCCCAAUAAUGGCCUGUGCUUCAGGUGUGGUCAACCAGGAUACCGUGCUAGAGAAUUCAACCAGAACCAGAAUCAACUGGCCCUUCCAGCAACUGGCCAUGGAAGCAACCAGCCCCGCAGCAACAAGGCCAAGUCUUAUGGUCGUGUUCAUGCCAACCACGUUGAUCUCAACGAAGCUCAAGACAAGCCUGCAACUGUGAUGGGUACACUCCUCGUAAAUUCAGUACCAGCAUUCGUUUUAUUUGAUACAGGAGCAUCCCAUUCAUUCAUAUCAGCAGAAUUUGCAUUCCUGCAUGGCAUUAAAUACGAAGAGAUGAACACUCCACUAGUGGUACACACCCCUGCGGGCCAAUGUCAAACCUCUAUGGUUAGUCACGACGUCCCCGUUGAAAUCGAAGGGCUGGAAUUCUAUGCCUCUCCCAUUAUCCUGAAGUCGUCUAACAUCGACCUCAUUUUGGGGAUGGAUUGGUUGAAAGCGCAUACUGCUUCUAUAGUUUGCGCCACUAAGACCGUCCAUCUACUUCACCCUUCAGAUGAAAUAGUUGCUUACCAAGCUCAUUUGGUGCAAAAUGCCGAGGCCAGGCUCUAUGCAUUGAAUGCCUUGAACGCCGCACCACUCGAGGGCAUUGAAAACAUUCCCGUCGUGCGUGAAUUCCUCGACGUCUUCCCUGAAGAACUUCCAGGGAUUCCCCCUGCUAGAGCUGUCGAAUUCAUCAUCGACUUGAAACCAGGCACCACUCCUAUAGCCAAGCGACCCUACAAGAUGCCGCCACAUGAACUCCUUGAGCUUAAGGAGGAAAUCGACAAUUCUCUUCGCAAAGGAUUCAUUCGCCCAAGUUGCUCUCCUUUGGGAGCACCUUCUCUCUUUGUCAAGAAGAAGGAUGGGACAAACCAAUUAGUUCAAGACUACCGUCCUAUAAACCAAGCUACCAUUCAGAAUAAAUACCCUCUUCCUCGGAUCAAUGAUCUAUAUGAUCAACUGGCGGGUUCAUCAGUGUUCUCUAAGCUCGACUUGAGGUUGGGUUACCACCAGAUCCGUGUUCGCGAAGAGGAUAUCCCAAAGACCGCCUUCGUGACUCGAUAUGGUUCAUACGAGUACACCGUCAUGUCUUUCGGUUUAACCAAUGCUCCUGCCACCUUCUCUCGUCUGAUGAACUAUAUAUUCAUGGAUUACCUCAACAAGUUCGUCGUGGUUUAUCUGGAUGAUAUCCUGGUAUUUUCCAAGAACAAAGAAGAACAUGCUGAACAUCUUCAUCUUGUGCUGGAAAAGCUACGAGAGCAUCAACUAUAUGCCAAGUUCUCCAAAUGUGAAUUCUGGCUACCCGAAGUAACCUAUCUUGGGCAUGUCAUCUCUAAGGAUGGUAUUGCCGUCAACCCUGAACGAGUCCAGGCUAUCCUUGAUUGGACUCCUCCCAAGAACGUUAAGCAAGUCAGAAGUUUUCUCGGUCUCGCCAGCUAUUGCCGUCGAUUCGUCGAGAACUUCUCCAAGAUCGCCAGGCCUCUGACUAACCUGUUGCAUAAGGGCGUCAAGUUCCAAUGGACAAACAAAUGUCAGGAAAGUUUCCAGGCACUCAAAGACAAGUUGACUUCUGCCCCAGUUCUAGCUCCACCUGAUACUAAGAAGGACUUCGUCAUUUACUGCGACGCUUCCCGUCAAGGAUUAGGCUGUUUCCUAAUGCAAGACCGCAAAGUAAUUGCUUAUGCCUCUCGGCAAUUGCGCCCUCACGAAGAGAACUACCCAGUUCACGACCUCGAACUUGCUGCUGUCAUUCAUGCGCUGAAGCAGUGGCGACACUACCUUCUCGGUAAUCGUUGCGAGAUCUUCACUGACCACCAAAGUCUGAAGUAUCUGUUUACUCAGCCAGACCUGAACCUCCGUCAGCAGAGAUGGAUGGAGCUUGUUGCAUACUUUGACUUGGGUAUUUCCUAUACGCCAGGCAAGGCUAAUGUAAUGGCUGAUGCCUUGAGCCGCAAGUCUUACUGCAACCACCUCCAGCUUCACAAAGUUCAGCCCUCGCUUGUUGAAGAAUUCCGGAAGCUUAACCUCCAUAUUGUUCCUCCGGGUGCACUCGCUCCCCCUCCUAAGGAGUUUCGCAAGAUGAACCUCCGUGUUGUUUCCCAGGGUUCCCUCAAUACCCUGGCCGUCGAACCAGAUCUCUUGGACUCCAUCAAGAGAAUACAUGGAUAUGACUCUGAAGCCCACAAGAUUAAGCGCUACCUUGCAGAAGGAAAGCCCUCAUUCUUCACAUUGCUAAAGAUGGCACUUUGUACUUCAAGGGCCGCCUAGUGGUGCCAUGUGCAGAGAAAAACCUGGAAAUGACACAGGAAGUUAUGAAAGAAGCUCAUGAUACGCCUCUAUGUAUCCAUCCUGGUAGUACAAAGAUGUACCAAGACAUCCGUCAGAGAUUCUGGUGGUCUAAUAUGAAGCAAGACAUUGCUCGUUAUGUUGCUGAGUGUGACGUUUGCCGUCGUAUCAAAGCAGAACAUCAAAGGCCUGCUGGAACUCUGCAACCUAUCUCUAUUCCUGAAUGGAAAUGGGACCAUGUUGAGAUGGACUUCGUCACUGGAUUUCCCAAAUCACAGAAAGGUAAUGAUGCUAUUCUUGUCGUCAUUGACCGGCUUUCCAAAGUUGCACAUUUCCUAGCGGUCAAAGAAACGAUCACUGCUAGUCAGCUGGCAACGCUCUAUAUGUCCAGGAUUGUUUCACUCCACGGUAUUCCAUUGGUUAUCAGCUCAGACCGUGGCAGCUUAUUCACUUCAAGAUUCUGGGCAAGUUUCCAAGAAGCUAUGGGAACUCAUCUGUCAUUCAGUACUGCGUUUCAUCCUCAGUCGCAAGGGCAAGUUGAACGCGUCAACCAAGUUCUCGAACACAUGCUUCGAGCUUGUGUUAUUUCCUUCGGCGAGAAAUGGGAGGAAUCUCUCCCGUAUGCUGAGUUCUCUUAUAAUAAUAGUUAUCAAGCUAGUCUGAAGAUGGCCCCCUUUGAAGUGUUAUAUGGACGAAAGUGCCGAACCCCUCUGAACUGGUCAGAAACUGGAGAUCGUCCACUCUUUGGUCCGGAUAUUAUCCAACAUGCCGAAGAACAAGUCCUCAUUAUUCAUGAGAAUCUCAAGACUGCUCAGUCACGUCAGAAGAGUCAGUAUGACCGUCAUCAUAAAGACUUGGUCUAUCAACCUGGCGAAAAGGCUUAUCUUCGAGUCACACCAAUGAAGGGUGCUCACCGCUUUGGAAUCAAGGGCAAAGUAGCUCCUCGAUAUAUUGGCCCAUUCACUAUUCUCGAAAGGCGUGGAAAAGUGGCAUACCAACUGGAACUUCCGCCGAACCUUUCUCAGGUUCACGAUGUGUUCCAUGUGUCACAGCUCCGCCGUUGCUUCAAGGACCCAAUCCGAGCACUGGAUCAUGAAGUGCUCGAAUUGCAGCAGGACCUCUCCUAUAAGGAGCAUCUGGUCCGCAUUCUCGACCAAGCUGAACACCACACACGUCAGAAGGCGAUCAAGUUCCUCAAAGUCCAGUGGUCGCACCAUUCUGAAGAUGAAGCCACUUGGGAACGCGAGGAUCGCCUGCGUGACGAAUACCCCGCACUGUUUCCUUCUACCUCCUAAAUUUCGGGACGAGAUUUCUUGUAGUGGAGGAGUUUUGUAACGCCCGGAUAAUCAAGCUACAGUAAUCCCACGCCAAUGGUGCCACGUCACCACAGUUACUGUUGCUAAUCUACUGUUAGGUCAAAUCGUUUCAAAAUUCAAAGUCAAAAUCAAGCAAACAAUAAAAGUUUUCAAAUAUUAAAACUAAAAUGUUCUUCAUGUGCCAAAUAAUCCAUACCUAAUAUUGGUAGUGAACCAACAUUUUUGCAAAUGUCUAAGUGCCCUAAACCACUUUAAAACAGUGGCUAAAACUAUAGUUUAAAUGCCUUUUUAGUUUAUGAAGGUUGCAAACUAUUUCAAAAGCCUCACAAUCUUUUUGUGGCAGUGCCCAAUAAUUCUUUGAAAUUGUUUUGGCCAGUGGCAUAAUUUUGCAAAGUCAUUAUUGGCUAAACAGAAAAUGCAAAAGCUGCUGAAUAUAAAAAGAAAAACAAAGAAAAGAAAAAAAGGAAAAGCAGAGAGAGAGAAAGCCCCUGCCUCACUUGGGCUUCGGCCCACCCGAGCGAGCUGGCCCAGCAGGCCGGCCCACUCCCCCCUCACCGGUCGCUCCCUCCCCUUCCUGUUCCUCUGCUCCGUGUCGCUACAGGGGUGAGGUCGACCCCGACCUCCUCGCCGGCCUCGCCGAGAGAGGAUAAGGGCAAAGCCACGGGCUCCCCUCGUCUCCCCACCCCACAUGCCCCCUCGCCCUCCCCAAAAACCCUAGCGCGCCCACAAUCCCCCUCUCGUCCCCUUCCUCGCCUCUGUUUGAGAUGCCCGAGUGCCUCCGUCGCCGUCGAUCGCCGUAGCCGUGGCCACCGUCGUCCGUUCUUCGCCCAGGCAAGUCCUACAGCUCCGCUGUGGUCCUCUGCUUCCACUACACCGCCGGAUCGAGCCCCGGAGCCCCUCGCGUCGCCGCACUCUUCUUCUUCUCUGGCUCGGCCACCGCAUCGUCCUCGUCCUUGAUCUACGCCACCGGUCCUCCCCGAGCCCUCUGCCCAGACCCCACGCUCCCCCGGUGAGCUCCUGCGCCGAACGCGCCGUCCCCUGCCCUCUCUAGCCACCCGUAGCCACUACCCCGACGAAGCCCGAACCACGGCCGCCUUGUUUGGUCGCCGGCGCAUCUCCGGUGACCUUUUGGUCACGGGCUAGUGCCCAACGUGCUCGCCGCGCUGCUUAGAGAACACCCAGCCCUUCCGUUCAAGCUGCUACACACCGUAGCUCCGUUUUCAUCGAGCACCCGUGCACGCCGCCACCUCCGCCGCUCACCGGUGCCGAUUCCGGCCAAGUCCGGCGAUGCUACAGCCACCACUGGAUGCGGCGCUGAGAGCUCGUUCGAAUGAGACUAGCCCCGCUCCUCCCCGAGCCCUGUACGCGUUUUCCGGCGAGAUCCGAGCCGUGACGCCGCGUUUGGCGUCGCCGGCGGUGAGCCGCCGGCCGUGCUGAGCUGGCACACCUGGGGCCACCCCCUGGGUCAUUGCCAGUGGGCCCCCUGGCCCCCUGUUGACCAGUUGACCUGGUCAACUAGGCUGACUGGGCAGGCCCCAGCCACUGACGUGCGGGCCUCACCGCUUAAUCCUAUAAUUAAAACAUUUUAAUAAUUAAAACCUAAUUAGUUACUAAUUAGAGACUGACAUGUGGGGCCCAGUAACUAUUUAACCUCAAAUUAGUUUAAUUUAAACUCUGUUAAUUAACAGUGGCUGACAUGUGGGCGCCACCUGUCUGGUUUGACUGGUCAGCCGACCUGUUGACCUGCUGACGUCAGCAUUGCACCAUGCUGAUGUCAUAAUUCCCUUUUCUGUUAAUUUAAAUAAUUCCAGAAAAUGGUUUAAUCUUUGAAAAUUUAUAUAAAAUAAUCCGUAACUCGGAUGAAAAUGUUUUCUACAUGAAAGUUGCUCAGAACGACGAGACGAAUCUGAAUACGUAGCCCGUUCGUUCACCACACGUCCCUAGCAUAGUGAACCUGCAACAUUUCACCUCCGGUCCAUCUGUCCGAAAAUGCGAUACAUCGGGAAUACUUUCCCGGAUAUUCCCCCCCUUCGCCGGUACCACCUACUGCCGCGUUAGGGCACACCUAGUACCGCUCAUUGUCAUGUCACGCAUCGUCAUGCUUAUGUUUGCAUUGUAUUUACUGUUUCUUCCCCCUCUUCUCUCCGGUAGACUACGAGACCGACGCUGCUGCUGCCCAGUUUGACUACGGAGUUGACGACCCCUCCUACUUGCCAGAGCAACCAGGCAAGCCCCCCCCUUGAUCACCAGAUAUCGCCUAUUCUUCUCUAUACUGCUUGCAUUAGAGUAGUGUAGCAUGUUACUGCUUUCUGUUAAUCCUAUCCUGAUGCAUAGCCUGUCCUUGCUACUACUGUUGUUACCUUUAACUGCAAUCCUACAUGCUUAGUAUAGGAUGCUAGUUUUCCAUCAGUGGCCCUACAUUCUUGUCCGUCUGCUGUGCUAUACUAUCGGGCCGUGAUCACUUGGGCGGUGAUCACGGGUAUAUACUUAUAUACUAUAUACAUGACACCUGUGGUGACUAAAGUCGGGUCGGCUCGUAGGAGUACCCGCAAGUGGAUCUUUGUGGCAGAGCGACAGGGCAGGUUGAGACCACCUAGGCGAGAGGUGGACCUGGCCCUGGACGUCGUCCGCGGUUACUUCAAAAUAACACGUUUAACGAGUUCUUGGUAUUUGAUCUGAGUCUGGCCAUUUGGUCUAUACGCACUAACCAACUACGCGGGAACAGUUAUGGGCACUCGCCGUCGUGGUAUCAGCCGAAGCCUUCGUGACGUCAGCGAUUAAGUGGCGCGCGCCGGAUUGGACUGGAACGCCACUAGGCUAGGUCUACUUCCGGCCGCGUUCGCAACGUGCAGGUGUGCAAUGGGCGAUGGGCCCAGACCCCUGCGCCAUAGGAUUUAGACCGGCGUGCUGACCUCUCUGUUGUGCCUAGGUGGGGCUGCGACGUGUUGAUCUUACGAGGCCGGGCAUGACCCAGAAAAGUGUGUCCGACCAAAUGGGAUCGAGCGUGUUGGGUUAUGUGGUGCACCCCUGCAGGGAAGUUUAUCUAUUCGAAUAGCCGUGUCCCUCGGUAAAAGGACGACCCGGAGUUGUACCUUGACCUUAUGACAACUAGAACUGGAUACUUAAUAAAAUACACCCUUCCAAGUGCCAGAUACAACCCGGUGAUCGCUCUCUAAUAGGGCGACGAGGAGGGGAUCGCCGGGUAGGAUUAUGCUAUGCGAUGCUACUUGGAGGACUUCAAUCUACUCUCUUCUACAUGCUGCAAGAUGGAGAUGGCCAGAAGCGUAGUCUUCGACAGGAUUAGCUAUCCCCCUCUUAUUCUGGCAUUCUGCAGUUCAGCCCACUGAUAUGCCGCUUUACACAUAUACCCAUGCAUAUGUAGUGUAGCUCCUUGCUUGCGAGUACUUUGGAUGAGUACUCACGGUUGCUUCUCUCCCUCUUUUCCCCCUUUCCUUUCUACCUGGUUGUCGCAACCAGAUGUUGGAGUCCAGGAGCCAGACGCCACCGUCGACGACGACACCUACGGCACUGGAGGUGCCUACUACUACGUGCAGUCCGCUGACGACGACCAGGAGUAGUUAGGAGGAUCCCAGGCAGGAGGCCUGCGCCUCGUUCGAUCUGUAUCCCAGUUUGUGCUAGCCUUCUUAAGGCAAACUUGUUUAACUUAUGUCUGUACUCAGAUAUUGUUGCUUCCGCUGACUCGUCUAUGAUCGAGCACAUGUAUUCGAGCCCUCGAGGCCCCUGGCUUGUAUUAUGAUGCUUGUAUGAUUUAUUUAUGUUGUAGAGUUGUGUUGUGAUAUCUUCCCGUGAGUCCCUGAUCUUGAUCGUACACAUUUGCGUGCAUGAUUAGUGUACGGUCAAAUCGGGGGCGUCACAGCCGCCGAAUCAAGAUAAGACUAGUAACGGUAAGCAAAUUGAACAAAUCAUCGCCCACAACUACUUGUGUUCUACUCGUGCAUAGAAUCUAGGCAUAGACCUAGCUCUGAUGCCACUGUUGGGGAACGUAGUAAUAAUUCAAAAUUUUCCUACGUGUCACCAAGAUCAAUCUAGGAGAUGCUAGCAACGAGAGAGAGGGAGUGCAUCUUAAUACCCUUGAAGAUCGCUAAGAGGAAGCGUUACAAGAACGCGGUUGAUGGAGUUGUACUCGCGGCGAUUCAAAUCGCGUAAGAUCCGAUCUAGCACCGAACGGACGGCGCCUCCGUGUUCAACACACGUACAGCCCGGGGACGUCUCCUCCUUGUUAAUCCAGCAAGGGGAGAGGAGAAGUUGAGGGAGAGCUCUGACAGCACGACGGCGUGGUGGUGGAGCUUGCAGUUCUCCGGCAGGGCUUCGCCAAGCACUACGGAGGAGGAGGAGGUGUUGGGGAGGGAGUGGGCUGCGCCAGGGGAAGGGUGCGGCUGCCCUCUCUCUCCCUCACUAUAUAUAGGGGAAAGGGGGGAGGAGGAGGUGCUCUAGGGUUUCCCUAGGGGAGGGGCGGCGGCCACAGGGGAAACCCUCGAUGGGUUUGGGCGCCCCCACCCCUAGGAAACUUGCCCCCCAAGCUGGGAGGGGUGGCAGCCCUAGGGGAGGCGCCCCACCUCUCCAUGUUACGUGAGAUGGGGUGGGAGGGGCGCACAACCCCUUAGUGGGCUGAUGUGCCCCUCCCCUUGGCCCAUAAGCCCCCCCCCAACGCUUGUCGGGGCCUCCGAAACCCCUUUCGGACACGCUGGUCGUCACCCGGUACCACCGGUACGAUCCCGGACUCCAAUACCCUUCGUCCAAUAUAUUGAUCUUCACCUCCGGACCAUUCCGGAGUUCCUCGUCACGUCCGAGAUCUCAUCCGGGACUCCGAACAACCUUCGGUAACCACAUACUAUUUCCCAUAACAACUCUAGCGUCACCGAACCUUAAGUGUGUAGACCCUACGGGUUCGGGAACCAUGCAGACAUGACCGAGACACCUCUUCGGCCAAUAACCAAUAGCGGGAUCUGGAUACCCAUAUUGGCUCCCACAUGUUCCACAAUGAUCUCACCGGAUGAACCACGAUGUCGGGGAUUCAAUCAAUCCCACAUUCAAUUCCCUUUGUCUAUCGGUAUGUUACUUGCCCGAGAUUCGAUCGUCGGUAUCCCCAUACCUCGUUCAAUCUCGUUACCGGCAAGUCUCUUUACUCAUUCCGUAACGCAUGAUCCCGUGGCUAAUUCCUUAGUCACAUUGAGCUCAUUAUGAUGAUGCAUUACCGAGUGGGCCCAGAGAUACCUCUCCGUCAUACGGAGCGACAAAUCCCAGUCUUGAUUCGUGCCAACCCAAUAGACACUUUCGGAGAUACCUGUAGUGCACCUUUAUAGCCACCCAGUUACGUUGUGACGUUUGGUACACCCAAAGCAUUCCUACGGUAUCCGGGAGUUGCAGAAUCUCAUGGUCUAAGGAAACGAUACUUGACAUUAGAAAAGCUCUAGCAAAACGAACUACACGAUCUUGUGCUAUGCUUAGGAUUGGGUCUUGUCCAUCACAUCAUUCUCCCAAUGAUGUGAUCCUGUUAUCAACGACAUCCAAUGUCCAUGGUCAGGAAACCAUGACCAUCUAUUGAUCAAUGAGCUAGUCAACUAGAGGCUCACUAGGGACAUAUUACGAUCUAUGUAUUCACACAUGUAUUGCGGUUUCCGGUUAAUACAAUUAUAGCUUGAAUAAUAGACAAUUAUCAUGAACAAGGAAAUAUAAUAAUAACCAUUUUAUUAUUGCCUCUAGGGCAUAUUUCCAACAUUUCCGCUGAGGUUAUUGAGGGUAUGUUUUUCAAUUUGUUCUCCCCGGAUCAAAGUUACCGCGGUCUGUGGUGGAAUAUUACCAUAUUAUUUACACAACAAGGUAUCGAGGUUAUGUCUUCUUGAAGGAACAAACGAGUGAAAGUUACCGUGGUGUUCAUACAUGAGUUAUCAGCUCUGGUGUGCGUAUAGUAUCAUGUUAUUUACACAGAAAUUAUCGGGGGUAUCUUUUUUCAACAACUUUUAUUCCAGGGUCAAAAGUUACCACAAUAUUUGUACCUGAGUUAUCAGCUCUGUUGUACAUGUAUUAUCAUGUUAUUUGCACAGAAGUUAUCAGGACACCUAGUUAUCGUGGUGUUUGUACGUGAGUUAUCAAUUCAGAUAGCAAUAUAUUAUCAUGUUAUUUACAUAGAAGUUAUCAGAGGUGUGUCGCAACACCCCCCCCCCCAGCCCAAUGUUUUCAACAAUAGUUUCCCCAUGGGUCAAAUUUAUCAUGAUGUUUNNNNNNNNNNNNNNNNNNNNNNNNNNNNNNNNNNNNNNNNNNNNNNNNNNNNNNNNNNNNNNNNNNNNNNNNNNNNNNNNNNNNNNNNNNNNNNNNNNNNNNNNNNNNNNNNNNNNNNNNNNNNNNNNNNNNNNNNNNNNNNNNNNNNNNNNNNNNNNNNNNNNNNNNNNNNNNNNNNNNNNNNNNNNNNNNNNNNNNNNNNNNNNNNNNNNNNNNNNNNNNNNNNNNNNNNNNNNNNNNNNNNNNNNNNNNNNNNNNNNNNNNNNNNNNNNNNNNNNNNNNNNNNNNNNNNNNNNNNNNNNNNNNNNNNNNNNNNGCUCUGUUGUACAUGUAUUAUCAUGUUAUUUGCACAGAAGUUAUCAGGACACCUAGUUAUCGUGGUGUUUGUACGUGAGUUAUCAAUUCAGAUAGCAAUAUAUUAUCAUGUUAUUUACAUAGAAGUUAUCAGAGGUGUGUCGCAACACCCCCCCCCCCCAGCCCAAUGUUUUCAACAAUAGUUUCCCCAUGGGUCAAAUUUAUCAUGAUGUUUGUAUGUAAGCUAUGAAAUCCAUUGUGAGUAAAGUAUCAUGCUAUUUACACAAAAUUUAUUAGGGGUAUAUUUACAACAGCUUUCCCCCAGGUCAAACUUACCAUAGUGUUGUAUAUAAUUUAUCAUGUCUGCAGUGUGUAAAUUAACAUGCUGUUUACACAGAAAUUACGGGGUAUCUUUUCAAUACUUUUUUUUCCGGAUCAAAGUUAUCAUUGUGUUUGAACGCAAGUUACCAGAACUGCAGUGACUAAAUUAUCAUGCAAUUAACAAAAAAAUUAAACGGGAGGGAGGGGGGUUGCUUUCGACAACUUUUUUCUCGGGGUCAAAGUAAUCACGAUAUUUGUAUCUUAGUUAUGAAGGAAAUAUGCCCUAGAGGCAAUAAUGAAGUUAUUAUCUAUUUUCUUAUAUCAUGAUAAAUGUUUAUUAUUCAUGCUAGAAUUAUAUUAACCGGAAACAUAAUACUUGUGUGAAUACAUAGACAAACAGAGUGUCACUAGUAUGCCUCUACUUGACUAGCUCGUUGAUCAAAGAUGGUUAUGUUUCCUAGCCAUUGACAUGAGUUGUCAUUUGAUUAACGGGAUCACAUCAUUAGGAGAAUGAUGUGAUUGACUUGACCCAUUCCGUUAGCUUAGCACUUGAUCGUUUAGUAUGUUGCUAUUGCUUUCUUCAUGACUUAUACAUGUUCCUAUGACUAUGAGAUUAUGCAACUCCCGUUUACCAGAGGUACAUUGUGUGUGCUACCAAACGUCACAACGUAACUGGGUGAUUAUAAAGGUGCUCUACAGGUGUCUCCGAAGGUACUUGUUGGGUUGGCAUAUUUCGAGAUUAGAAUUUGUCACUCCGAUUGUCGGAGAGGUAUCUCUGGGCCCUCUUGGUAAUGCACAUCACUUAAGCCUUGCAAGCAUUGCAACUAAUGAGUUUGUUGCGAGAUGAUGUAUUAUGGAACGAGUAAAGAGACUUGCCGGUAACGAGAUUGAACUAGGUAUUGAGAUACCGACGAUCGAAUCUCGGGCAAGUAACAUACCGAUGACAAAGGGAACAACGUAUGUUGUUAUGCGGUCUGACCGAUAAAGAUCUUCGUAGAAUAUGUGGGAGCCAAUAUGAACAUCCAGGUUCCGCUAUUGGUUAUCGACCGGAGACGUGUCUCGGUCAUGUCUACAUAGUUCUCGAACCCGUAGGGUCCGCACGCUUAACGUUUCGAUGACAGUUAUAUUAUGAGUUUAUAUGUUUUGAUGUACCGAAGGUUGUUCGGAGUCCCGGAUGUGAUCACGGACAUGACGAGGAGUCUUGAAAUGGUCGAGACAUGAAGAUUGAUAUAUUGGAAGCCUAUGUUUGGAUAUCGGAAGGGUUCCGGGUGAAAUCGGGAUUUUACCGGAGUACCGGGAGGUUACCGGAACCCCCCGGCAACAUAAUGGGCCUUAGUGGGCCUAGGUGGAAGAGAAGAGAGGCGGCUAGGGCUGGGCCGCGCGCCCCUCCCCCCUGGUCCGAAUAGGACAAGGAGAAGGGGGCGGCGCCCCCCCUCCUUCUUCUCCCUCUCCUCUUUCCCCCCUCCCAAGUCCUAAUCCAACUAGGAAAAGGGGGGGAGUCCUACUCCCGGUGGGAGUAGGACUCCUCCUGGCGCGCCCCAAGGUUGGCCGCACCUCCCCCCUUUGAUCCUUUAUAUACGGGGGCAGGGGGCACCCCAAAGACACAACAAUUGAUCAUCGAUCUCUUAGCCGUGUGCGGUGCCCCCUCCACCAUAUUACACCUCGAUAAUAUCGUAGCGGUGCUUAGGCGAAGCCCUGCGUCGGUAGAACAUCAUCAUCGUCACCACGCCGUCGUGCUGACGAAACUCUCCCUCAACACUCGGCUGGAUCAGAGUUCGAGGGACGUCAUCGAGCUGAACGUGUGCUGAACUCGGAGGUGCCGUGCGUUCGGUACUUGAUCGGUCGGAUCGUGAAGACGUACGACUACAUCAACCGCGUUGUGUUAACACUUUCGCUUUCGGUCUACGAGGGUACGUGGACAACACUCUCCCCUCUCGUUGCUAUGCAUCACCAUGAUCUUGCGUGUGCGUCGAUUUUUUUUUUCAAAUUACUACGUUCCCCAACAAGUUAUCAUGUAAACGGAGCGUAAAUUAUCAUGCUAUUUACAUAUAAAGUUACUCGGGGAACUUUUUAACCCCUCGUGGGUUAAAGUUACUUUGGUUAUAACAACCUUUUCAUUUGGUUAAAGUUACUGUGGUGUUUAUAGCUAAGUUAUCGAAUCUGCGAUGUGUCUGUUAUCAUACUACUUAUAACAGAAGUUGUGGGGGUGCGCGAGCGGUGAUGGUGAUGCAUGAAUCGUUGAAUAGCAGCCCUCCACCGCAACCGCGAGCAUCUCACCCGAUAGAUGUCGAGUCGAUCGGGACAGUAGAUAAACAUAAUGUUUGGUACUUAACUGUUAUGAGGCUUGCGGGACGUCGUGGCAUGAUAUGGUAUUUACACAAAAAUUUACCGGGAGUACGUUUAUAAUUUUUUUUCCCGGAUGGAAGUUAUCACGGUGUUUUUAUGCAAGUUACCAAGUCGGUGGUGUGUGAAUUAGCAUGCUAUUUACAUAGAAGUUAACGGGGUAUGUUUCGACAAAAAGAAUUGCUCGAUCAAAAGUUACCAGGCCCUGGGUGCGUAAGUUAUCUGGUCCACCUUUCGUAAAUUAUCACGUUAUUUACAAAAAAAUCCAGGGUGUGUUGUCAACAACUUUUUCCCCGGUCAAAACUACCACGGUGUUUAUACGUAAUUUAUCAGAUCGGCAGUGCUUAAAUCAUCAGUUUACCCCCCUUGUGAAACACUUUUUUAAAUGUAUUUAAAAUUGAUGUAAACAUGUAUGCCUCUCCCACUAUAGUCAGUAACAUGACGCACUAGUGAGAAAUGAAAAAUCAGAAGAUAUAAUGCCUUUUCCCAAUGCGUAAUAAAGAAGGAUAAAAAUGUCCAGUUGCGUUCAGGUGCACAACAAGUAAUUCUAGUCCGGCUGGUUAACCUCUUUGAGGUAGCAGUAGAUGACUAGAGUUCGUAUCCUCGCUCCGGAAUUUUUUUUCUUCCACACAACACUGAAACGCGCGGAAGAAAAAAGGGAUCUGCGAAUGGGAAAAAAAUGGAAUCGCGCAGGGGAACGGGAUCGUACGCGCCGGUUGCUAACUGCCAGUUGGCAGGAAAAUAGCUUUUCAGUUUUGUUUUUACUGUUCAUCCUGGUUGCAAUGCAUUCGGCUCUAGCCAUAACUUUUCCUAGGGAGGUGUUGUAUUUCUUUCUUUCCAUUACUUAAUUGAUGCGCGCGCCCGCACACACACACACACGUAACUAAGGACACAUGAGACGGGACUCCUUUGGACCGCAAACAUCUGAAAAUAUAUAAAUAGAUAAAAACACAUAUAGGGUUGAGAUGUGGCAUAUUGUGAAUUUUAAUUACGUAGGAUUUUAGAACACAAUAAUACUCUAAGAGAUGACUACACAUACGUAUAGAGAGAGGGGGUUGUGUGUGUGUAUGAGAGAGAUAAAAUUUGACUUCUUAAGAAGAAAUAAAAUAAAAUUUGUGCUCAUGCUGAGAUUCCUGUAGAAGGGGCGGUAUAAAAAUGGAGCCCAUGCUUAGAUCUGAAGGGGUUCAAUAGGACAGCGUUUUUUGUAUCACUGAAAAACUUAUCAGUUUCAUACUUCGUCUAGAGAUAUUUUAUAAUUUGGUCCAAGCUAAUUUAACAUUAAUGAGUUUCAUGCUUUGCUUAAUUUAUUCGGGAGAAACUGUUUGAGUAUCGUUAUUAUUAGGAAGAUCCACCCAGCGAAAUUGUGUAUAUAUGCCUAUAUUUGCUCCUCUUACCUUUUCCCUGUGAACCAAAUAAAAGCCCAAAAGUCCUGCUACGUAAAAGAGCCCCAAGGUGCAAAUUUCAUGAAAUUUUGUCAAAUUGUACGCUCUACGUAGACUCCAUGUGGUCCUCGAGCUGAAAAGGAUCACACGCAUAUGUAAUGUCAUUAUUCGAUGAUGAUUUAUGAAGAUUCUGUAAAUGGAUCAAUCAAUCAGCUCGCCGUCGUCGUCGAAGCAGAUGGUGGGGACGGGGGAUGAGACACGAGAGGUCCCAUGCAACCGGCAACCUCAGAUGCAUCCCGGCUAAAAGGACCCAUGGAAAUUAGUUUAUGGUUAGUGGGACGGGAAACCAGUAAUGGCACUGGCACGGACCACAUGCCCAUGGAUUCUGGGGAGCAGCCCGUCACGGGCCCCCAAUUUAUUUUCUGGCCCCGGCCGGGCUCUCGCGUGCCGGCGACGUGCAAACUACUCACCGUCCAAGUUCCCGUCGACCUUUUUCAGAACUCCGGCAACGAACAACGGUCUCGCCUUGCAGGAUCUGGAUGGGUCCCGCAUGCAAGCGUCGGUACGGUGGCAUGUGAGGAUAAAAAGGGGCUUAUCCGAAUGGAAAGCAUGUUUUGAUGGACUUAAUGCGCUUAGCUGGAUACGCUGGUGCUCACAUUUUUUUAAUUUACUUUUGUUUUCUUGGCGAUGUUUAUUUAGUGUGAGACGGCGUUUACGUCCACUACGAGGUGUAUAUGGCGACUUCGUCAAUUUCAUGAUGUAUCGGCCCAUUCUUUCGAAGGUGGUCAUAGUGAUAGGGGUGAAUGUAGAUGCAUCUUUCUCCUUGAAUUUCAAAUGCCAAAUGCAUAAACAUCCAACACACUAGAAUUUGGGUUCAAUCUCAAUAUUGAACCUAUUCAAUAUUGAGAUUGAACCCAAAUUCUAGUGUGGCAUUUGGCAUUUGAAAUUCAAAGAAAAAGACGCAUCUACACACUAGAAUUUGAAAAAAUGUUAGAUGUGUAUAGAGAAAAUGGUGACCAUGGUAUUAAAAAAGAUGUUAAUCUUGUAUUUCAAAUUUUUAAUCAAGCACUGGAAAAAAUGUUAGAUGUGUAUAGGAAAAAUGUUGACCAUGUAUUAAAAAAGUUAAAAAUAUAUUUGAAAACUAUUAAUCAAAAUUAUUCAAAAAAAUAUUAAACAAGUAUUAGAAAAAUGUAUUACAUAUAUACCACAACUGCACAAUUAGUAUGGAAAAAGUAGACAUAAAAAAUAUAAGUUUACCAAAAAAUGCUAAUCAUGUAUUUCAAAACAAUUAAUCAUGUUAUAAAAAUGCUCCUGAUCUAGAUGAAAAUUGUUGGAUAUGCACUAAUUUUUUUAACAUGUGAUCAACAAAAAUGAAAAUCAAUGAAAAAACCAAGAACAAAUAAGAAACCCAAUAAAAACCAAAAAGAAAAACCAAAAAGAAAAACAAAGAACACAAAAAAUAUUAAGAUGAAAAACCAAAGAAAAAUAGUGCAAAAAAGUGGAAAUGGAGAAAACCGAGAGAGAAACAAAGAAAAAAACCCAAUGAAAACCAACAAAGAAACAAAGAAAACAGAGAAAGAAAUAAAGAAAUGGAAAAAUCAUGAAAAUCGAGAAGGAAACCUAUAAAAACAAAGAAAAACAAUAAAAUCAGAUAAAGAAAUGAAGAAAAACAAACAAUAGACAAACGAAAAAAGAAAUGCGAAGAAAAAGAAAGAAAGAGACAAUAAAAACCAAGAAAAAACGAAAAAGAAAAGAAAGAGAAAAGAAAAAAGAUGAAAAUGAGAAGAAAGUGACUAAAACCGGUGGAAAAACAAAUAAAGGAAUAAAAACCGAGAAAACAAAUGAAAAAAUAAUAAAAUUUGAAAAAAAAAAUACAAAACAAAUAAAACCCAGCGAACGAAACUAGUGAACUCGAUUGAAACCAGUGAAUAGGGAAAAUGGUAAAAUGGGCCAGCCCGGUAGAUACAGACGGGGUAAAUCCUUCAGCCAGCGGAGAAUGUUCUGAUGGUGCAAAGGAAGAAAGUGCAUGGUCAUAUUUGUGGAAGAUCAAAGUGCCGGCCAAGGUGAGAGUAUUCCAAUGGAGAUUAGCGUGCCACUCACUGCCGACUUUUGAUGUAAUGCAGCACAUGAACAUGACAGAAACUGAUGUGUGUCCUCUUUGCGGCGCCGAAGACUCGUGGAGACAUGCACUGUUGAGCUGCACCGUGGCGAGGUGUGUUUGGGCCUUGUCGGAUGACAACCUGGUGGAGAAAAUUCCAGAGAAUGAAGGAUCUAAUGCGAAGAACUGGGUACUCGAUCUCCAUGACAUUCUGAGCCAAGAUCAGUUCAGAAGGCUUGUAGUCACGCUAUGGUCGAUUUGGUAUGUGAGAAGGAAAGCCGUCUAUGAAUCUGUUUUUCAGGGGCCUAGACAGACACAUGAAUUCAUAGCCUCAUAUCUGCGGGAGUUGAGUGAGGCCCAGGAACCGGAGAAAAGACCAAGGGUAGUGACGGGGCAACCAACUGUCAGAACAGAACAAUGGAGGCCGCCACCGGAGGGCACUGUAAAACUUAAUGUGGAUGGAGCUGUGGAAAAUCAGGGUAACUUUGGUGCUUCGGCAGUGGUGUGCAGAGAUCAUAAUGGCUUAUACCUGGAGUCAUCGUCGUUGGUCACGCAGAUGGUCGACCCGGCGACACUGGAGGCAUAUGCGUUAAGGGAGGCUCUCGCCCUGGCUGAGGAUCUUGGAGCUCAGCGCCUACAUGUUGCUUCGGACUGCCUGACAGUGAUCAACGACAUUCAUCAACGCACUGGGGACGGCAUGGAGCGGUGAUUAGGGAGAUCAUCAGCUGUUGUAGAUCCUUUAUUUCAUGUAACUUUGUUCAUGAGCAUAGACGUUUUAAUGUAGAAGCACACAACUUAGCAAAGCAUUCUUGUAACCUAGUAGUAGGUCGUCAUCUGUGGUUGGGGAAUCCCCACGACCAAAAUCUUGUACCCAUGAACAUCUCUGAAUUUUAAUAAAGUGGAACAAGAUUUCUCAAAAAAAAAAAUCCUUCAGCCAGCCGUAAAGGAAUCUUGUUAUUUGUCUAAAAAAAUAAUCUUGUUAUAAGCAAGAUAAAACAUCCAUGGAUCAUAUUACCAGUGUAGGUCGCAGAAUAGUAUGCAAACGUGCACCCGCCCCCCUAGCGAGAACGCCAGGUAUAUGGGCCUGCCAUUCCUCAAUUACUACCCAUCGGUUUCGGUAAGGUUCUACAGUCUUCCCCAAGCUGAUUUUUUUCUAUGUUUUUUCUUUUGGUGUUUUUGGUUUUUGUUUUAUUUCCCUUUUUUCCUUUUUGCUCAUUUCAUGAAGAAUUUUAAAUUUUCACAAACUUUUCGAAGCGCUCUAACAUUUCCUAAAUUUUGCAAAUAAUUUUUAAACCCGUGAACAUUUCUUGAACCUCAGGAACAUUUAGAAAUUUUGAAACUUUUUUAAAAUCCGAGAACCUUUUCAAAAUUCAUGAUUUUUUUGUAAUCUAGGAAUAUUUUUCAAAUUCAUAUCAUUUUGGAAAUUUAGAAGAUUGUAUUAAGUUAAAUGUAAAUUCAUGAGCAUUUUUUUAAAUUCGAAAAUAAAUUUUCAAAUUCUUAAACAUUUUGUAAAAUUUGGAAAAAAUUGAAAUACGAAAAAAUAUUUCAUAUUCGUGAACAUUUUCUGAAUUUUAGUAACAUUUCAGAAAUUUGGAACAUUUUUUAAAUUGCUAUUAUUUUUGACAAAUUCCGAAUAUUUUUAAAAAUCCAGGAUUAUUUUCCAAAUUCUUUAACAUUUUUCGUAAUAUGCAAACAUGUUCUAAAAUUUGGAAAUAUUUUCCAAAUUAGUGAAUAUUCUUAAACUAUAAAAGUACUUUAAUUUUUGUGAACAUCUUUGAAAUCCCAAACAUUUCCUAAUAAAGGGGUGAAAAAUAAAACAAAAAACCAAAAGGGGGGCGCUCCACCCAACACAUGCAUGGGCCCAAAGGGCACGUAGGGGGGUGUGGGGGGCGGUGCGUUUUGUGGAUAUCGAGAUACCCACGUGUUGAAGGCCUCCUGUGAAGCAUUGUAGCGAAAUCACUAGUUAAGAGUAACCCGUUGCAAAGGUCACUCCCACUUUUUCAUGCGCUGACUAGUGGUGUACUGCAUGUGCGUCACUUGUCGCAACCUGUGAGUUUUCCUUUUUUUGUUGAUUCAUUUAUUGAAAAUGUUUUAUCUCAUGAACUGUGCGUCCAAAUCCCGAACCAUUUCAUCGUUGGAUUAUUUGUGUCGAGAUCUUCGAAACUAGAUCCCAUGUUAAUAGCUUUCGAUGAACUUUUUUGCACAAAAAGGUAAAGAAAACAGAGCCAUAAGCAUUGUUUUCACUUUUUUCCCUUUUGUGCUUCUCGUGCAAGCAAAUAUGUGCAUCCACGAUGCUUCUUAUGGAGGCAUAUAUUUUUUAUGUUUCCAAGAAGCAUAACUGUGCUUCUAGCGAAAGCAAAUCUCUGUCUCCACGAAAAGCAAAUUGAUAUUUUUCUUAGCCCAUUAACUCUAAGUAAAUCCUAGGGACUCCUAGAUAAUCAUCUGAGCCAUCUAUUAUUUAUAUUAGGUCUCCAGAAACAUUUUCCGCAUGUAUAUCAUUACCCAGUAUUACCCAAUUUUCUUCAAAACUCUUUUGGUAACCCUGAAACACUUAUGGUUUCCCUCGAAACAAUUUCUUUUAUUUUUGAAAAAACUUCGGUAAUAUUUUCUAAUAUUCCUAACUCCUAUAUAACUCAAAAGAUCAUAAACCCUUAAGCGUAUGACCCCUGCAGGUUCGGUAAAAUAUAGACAUGAAAGAAAAACAACUUUUGUUCAAUGAUCAACAACGGAACCGUGGACAUCCAUAUUGAUCACUAUACUUACACGAAUGAUAUUCGAGUGAACCGUUGGUUAUCAUAUGUUGUUCCUUUUGCUUCAUGAUACAUUACAAAACCCGAGCUGAGAUAUAUCGGUAUCCCCGUGAGAUCAACACAUGCUCACUAUACAGGUCUUCCACGUUAACGGUUCUAUUCUCUUUUCUCGUUCUCGUGUUUCGGCAUCCCCGUGAUCAAUUCACGUUUUGUCUACCCAAACGAUGAUAGAUGCCAUCACAUCGAAAGGUCCCUAAGAAUAUCUCUCCAUAAUCGGAUGAGUGAAUCCCAGUCUCGAGCUAUAUAGUUCCUCGUCAUACUUUUUGAUGAACCCGUAAGUUGCUAUUAUGAUCACCCUGUUGCGGAUGACAUUGGAACAACCCCAAAGGGCAACGUCCAGUAUGGAGUGACUUGAUACUCUCAUUGUCUAAGGAUUCAUACAUACAUUAACUACCAUGUUAUGAUCUAUGGACUUGAGACGAUAUAAUCUCAGAGUAUAACAAAUAACUUUGGUCAAUUCAACACGAGUGUUCUACCAACAUCGUGCUCUCAAAUAUAACUGGCAUAUGCCCAUGAUCAGGAAAACAAAAACAUCAAAUAAACACUUGAGAUAGUCCUAGAGGCAAGACUAGGAAUCUCGUUUUACCGUUUAUAUCUCUACACGUGCUAAUAAAUUUUUCUCUGAAUCGCAUAUUCAAGAACGAUAACAAUUAUAGCAUAGAAUAUAAACAUUAACUAGAAACUUUGAAAUAAAUAAUACAAAUAUUAUUACCUCUAGGGCAUAUUUCCAAUGGUCUUUCACUUGCACUAGAGUCAGUAAUCUAGUUUACAUAGCUUCUUUUACACAAAUGGUAAUCCGGUGUUGAUCAGCUUUGCUCAUGGUAGAGGCUUCAUCAUCGGAUCUAAUACAUUCAGGUCUAUGUGAAUCUUGAGUACUUUUACAUGACCUUCUUCAGCAUGAUAUCGAGUAAGUUGAUACUUGUGUUGUAUAUGUUUGGACUUCUGAUGGGCUCCUUUGCUUAAACCACGGCACCGCUAUUGUCACAAUAGAGCUCCAUGAGGUUCGAUGCACUUGGUGUUGGGGAACGUAGUAUUUAAAAAAAUUCCUACGAUCACGCAAGAUCUAUCUAGGAGAAGCAUAGCAAUGAGUGGGGAGAGUGUGUCCAUGUACCCUCGUAAACCGAAAGCGGAAGUGUUUAGUAACACGGUUGAUGUAGUCGAACGUCUUCACGAUUCAACCGACCCAAGUACCGAAUGUAUGACACCUCCGUGUUCAGCAGACGUUCAACACGAUGACGUCCCUCGAGCUCUUGAUCCAGUUGAGGACGAGGGAGAGUUCUGUCAGCACGACGGUGUGGCGACGGUGAUGACGAAGUUACCGGCGCAAGGCUUCGCCUAAGCACUACUACGAUAUGACUGAGGUGUUAACUGUGGAGGGGGGCGCCGCACACGGCUAGGAACAAUUGAUGUGUGUUCUAGGGGUGCCCUCCCCAUGUAUAUAAAGGAGGGAGAGGGAGGGAGGCAGCCUAGGGCGCGCCCAAGUAGGAGGAAUCCUACUUGGGCCCCUAGUCCAAUUCGCACCCCUUACCAUAUUUGGACAAGGGGGAAAGGAAGGAGGGGGAGGGGAAGGAAGUAGGAGUCCUACUUUAUACUUUCCUUUUCCUCCUCUCCUUUCCCUUUCUCCCCACGUGGCUGGCCCUAUAGGGGGCGCACUAGCCCCAUGUGGGAUGGUGUGUUCCCUUACUUAGCCCAUUAAGCCCAUAUCUUUGUCGGGGUUUGCCCGGAACCCCUUCCGGUGACCCGGUAUCACCCGGAACACUUCCGGUGUCCAAAUACCAUCGUCCUAUAUAUGAAUCUUGACCUCUCGACCAUUUCGAGACUCCUCUUCAUGUUCGUGAUCUCAUCCGGGACUCCGAGCAAACUUCGGUCAUCAAAUCACAUAACUCAUAAUACAAAUCGUCAUCGAACGUUAAGCGUGCGGACCCUACGGGUUCGAGAACUAUGUAGACAUGACCGAGACACAUCUCCGGUCAAUAACCAAGAGCGGAACCUGGAUGCUCAUAUUGGCUCCUACAUAUUCUACUAAGAUCUUUAUCGGUCAAACCGCAUAACAACAUACGUUGUUCCCUUUUUCAUCGGUAUGUUACUUGCCCGAGAUUCGAUCGUCGGUAUCAUCAUACCUAGUUCAAUCUCGUUACCGGCAAGUCUCUUUACUCGUUCCGUAAUGCAUCAUCCCGUAACUAACUCAUUAGUGACAUUGCUUGCAAGGCUUAUAGUGAUGUGCAUUACCGAGAGGGCCCAGAGAUACCUCUCCGAUACUCGGAGUGACAAAUCCUAAUCUCGAUCUAUGCCAACCCAACAAACACCUUCGGAGACACCUGUAGAGCAUCUUUAUAAUCACCCAGUUACGUUGUGAUGUUUGAUAGCACACAAGGUGUUCCUCCGGUAUUCGGGAGUUGCAUAAUCUCAUAGUCAGAGGAACAUGUAUAAGUCAUGAUGAAAGCAAUAGCAAUAAAACUAAACGAUCAUUAUGCUAAGCUAACGGAUGGGUCUUGUCCAUCACAUCAUUCUCCUAAGGAUGUGAUCCCGUUCAUCAGAUGACAACACAUGUCUAUAGUCAGGAAACUUAACCAUCUUUGAUUAACGAACUAGUCUAGUAGAGGCAUACUAGGGACACUUUGUUUUGUCUAUGUAUUCACACAUGUAUCAAGUUUCCGGUUAAUACAAUUCUAGCAUGAAUCAUAAACAUUUAUCAUGAUAUAAGGAAAUAUAAAUAACAACUUUAUUAUUGCCUCUUGGGCAUAUUUCCUUCAGUCUCCCACUUGCACUAGAGUCAAUAAUCUAGUUCACAUUGCCAUGUGAUUUAACACCAAUAGUUCACAUCACCAUGUGAUUAGUUCACAUCGCCAUGUGACUAAUACCCAAAGGGUUUUACUAGAGUCAAUAAUCUAGUUCACAUCGCUAUGUGAUUAACACCCUAAGAGUACUAAAGUGUGAUCAUGUUUUGCUUGUGAGAGAAGCUUAGUCAAUGGGUUUGUCACAUUCAGAACCGUAUGUAUUUUGCAAAUUUUCUAUGUCUACAAUGCUCUGCAUGGAGCUACUCUAGCUAAUUGCUCCCACUUUCAAUAUGUAUCCAGAUUGAGACUCAGAGUCAUCCGGAUCGGUGUAAAAGCUUGCAUCGGCGUAACUCUUUACGACGAACUCUUUAUCACAUCCAUAACCGAGAAAUAUCUCCUUAGUCUUUGAAGGAUAAUUUUGACCGCUGUCAAGUGAUGCACUCCUGGAUCAAUAUCGUACCCCCUCGCCAAACUCAUGGCAAGGUACACAAUAGGUUUGGUACACGACAUAGCAUACUUUAUAGAACCUAUGGCUGAGGCAUAGGGAAUGCCUUUCAUUCUCUUUCUAUUUUCUGCCGUGGUCGUGUUUUGAGUCUUACUCAACUUUACACCUUGCAAUACAGGCAAGAACUCCUUCUUUGACUGUUCCAUUUUGAACUACUUCAAAAAUCUUGUCAAGGUAUGUACUCAUUGAAAAAUCUUAUCAAGCGUCUUGAUCUAUCUCUAUAGAUCUUGAUGCCCAAUAUGUUAGCAACUUCAUCAAGGUCUUUCUUUGAAAAACUCCUUUCAAACACUCCUUUAUGCUUUCCAGAAAAUUCUACAUCAUUUCUGAUUAACAAUAUGGCAUUCACAUAUACUUAUCAGAAAGGCUGUAGUGCUCCCACUCACUUUCUUGUAAGUACAGGCUUCACCGCAAGUCUGUAUAAAACUAUAUGCUUUGAUCAACUUAUCAAAGCGUAUAUUCCAACUCUGAGGAUUGACAAAACCUUCUGGUUGUAUCAUAUACAAGUCUUCUUUAAUAAAUCCAUUAAGGAAUGCAGUUUUGAUAUCCAUUUGUCAGAUUUCAUAAAAUGUGGCAAUUGCUAACAUGAUUCCGAGAGACUUUAAGCAUAGAUACGAGUGACAAAAUCUCAUCGUAGUCAACAUCUUGAACUUGUCAAAAACCCUUUUCGACAAGUCGAGUUUUGUAGAUAGUAACACUACUAUCACCGCCCGUCUUCCUCUUGAAGAUCCAUUUAUUCUCAAUGGCUUGCCGAUCAUCGGGCAAGUCCACCAAAGUCCACACUUUGUUCUCAUACAUGGAUUCUAUCUCAGAUUUCAUGGCCUCAAGCCAUCUAUCGGAAUCUGGGGUCAUCAUCCCUUCCUCAUAGUUCGUAGGUUCCUCAUGGUCUAGUAACAUGACUUCCAGAACAGGAUUAUCGUACCACUCUGGUGCGGAUCGUACUCUGGUUGACCUAUGAGGUUUGGUAGUAAGUUGAUCUGAAGUUUCAUGAUCAUCAUCAUUAACUUCCUCACUAAUUGGUGUAGGUAUCACUGGAACUGAUUUCAGUGAUGAGCUACUUUCCAAUUCGAGAGAAGGUACAAUUACCUCAUCAAGUUCUACUUCCCCCCACUCACUUCUUUCAAGAGAAACUCCUUCUCUAGAAAGGAUCCACUGUUAGCAACAAAGAUCUUGCCUUCAGAUCUGUGAUAGAAGGUGUACCCAACAGUUUCUUUUGCGUAUCCUAUGAAGAUGCACUUUUCCGAUUUGGGUUUGAGCUUAUCAGGCUGAAACUUUUUCACAUAAGCAUCGCAACCCCAAACUUUAAGAAACAACAGCUUAGGUAUGUUGAUAAACCACAGUUCAUACGGUGUCGUCUCAACGGAUUUUUAGACGGUGCCCUAUUUAACGUGAAUGCAGUUGUCUCUAAUGCAUAACCCCAAAACGAUAAUGGUAAAUCGGUAACAGACAUCAUAGAUCACACCAUGUCUAAUAAAGUACGGCUACGACGUUCGGACACACCAUUACGUUGUGGUGUUCCAGGUGGCAUGAGUUGCGAAACUAUUCCACAUUGUUUCAAAUGAAGGCCGAACUCGUAACUCAAAUAUUCGCCUCCACGAUCAGAUCAUGGAAACUUUAUUUUCUUGUUACGAUGAUUUUCUACUUCACUCUGAAAUUCUUUGAACUUUUCAAAUGUUUCAGACUUAUGUUUCAUUAAGUAGAUAUACCCAUAUCUGCUCAAAUCAUCUGUGAAGGUCAGAAAAUAAUGAUACGCGACGCGAGCCUCAACACUCAUCGGACCGCAUACAUCGGUUUGUAUUAUUUCCAAUAAGUCAGUGGCUCGCUCCAUUGUUCCGGAGAACGGAUUCUUAGUCAUCUUGCCCAUGAGGCAUGGUUCGCAAGCAUCAAGUGAUUCAUAAUAAAGUGACUCCAAAAGCCCAUCAGCAUGGAGUUUCUUCAUGCGCUUUACACCACUAUGACCUAAACGGCAGUGCCACAAAUAUGUUGCACUAUCAUUAUCAACUUUGCAUCUUUUGGCAUCAAUAUUAUGAAUAUGUGUAUCACUACGAUCGAGAUUCAAUAAACAAUUUACAUUGGGUGUAUGACCAUCGAAGGUUUCAUUCAUAUAAACAGAACAACAAUUAUUCUCUUGACUUAAAUGAAUAACCGUAUUGCAAUAAACAUGAUCUAAUCAUAUUAAUGCUAACGCAAACACCAAAUAACAUUUAUUUUAGGUUCAACACUAAUCCCGAAGGUAAAGGGAGUGUGCGAUGGUGAUCUUAUCAACCUUGGAAUCACUUCCAACACACAUCCUCACCUCGCCCUCAACUAGUCUCUGUUCAUUUUGUAACUCCCGUUUCAAGUUACUAAUCAUAGCAACUGAACCAAUAUCAAAUACCCAGGGGUUACUAUGAACACUAGUAAAGUACACAUCAAUAACAUGUAUAUCAUAUAUACUUUUGUUCACUUUGCCAUCCUUCUUAUCCGCCAAAUACUUGGGGCAGUACCCCUUCCAGUGACCAGUUGAUACGUCCAUUUUGCAUCAUGCUUUUAUAUCGAUAUUUGUUGCAUUAUGGGCUGUUAUUACACAUUAUGUCACAAUACUUAUGCCUAUUCUAUCUUAUUUUACAAGGUUUACAUGAAGAGGGAGAAUGCCAGCAGCUGGAAUUCUGGGCUGGAAAAGAAGCAAAUAUUAGAGACCUAUUCUGCACAACUCCAAAAGUCCUGAAACUCCACGGAAGUCAUUUUUGGAUUUAAUAAAAAAUACCGAGCGGAGAAACUACCAGAAGGGGGCCACACACUGGCCACGAGGGUGGGAGGCGCGCCCUACCCCCUGGGCGCCCCCUGCCUCGUGGCCCCCCUGGCAGGCCUUGGGUGCCCAUCUUUGGCUAUAUGGUGUAUUCUACCCUGGAAAAAAAAUCAGAAGCAAGCUUUCGUGAAGAACUCCGCCGCCACGAGGCGGAACCUUGGAGGAACCAAUCUAGGGCUCCGGCAGAGCUGUUCUGCCGGGGAAACUUCCCUCCGGGAGGGGGAAAUCAUCACCAUCGUCAUCACCAACGAUCCUCUCAUUGGGAGGGGGUCAAUCUCCAUCAACAUCUUCACCAGCACCAUCUCCUCUCAAACCCUAGUCCAUCUCUUGUAUCCAGUCUUUGUCUCCAAACCUCAGAUUGGUACCUGUAGGUUGCUAGUAGUGUUGAUUACUCCUUGUAGUUGAUGCUAGUUGGUUUACUUGGUGGAAGAUCAUAUGUUCAGAUCCAUUAUGCAUAUUAAUACCCCUCUAAUUAUGAACAUGAAUAUGAUCUGUGAGCAGUUACUUUUGUUCCUGAGGACAUGGGAGAAGUCUUGCUAUAAGUAGUCAUGUGAAUUUGUUAUUCGUUCGAUAUUUUGAUGAGAUGUAUGUUGUCUCUCCUCUAGUGGUGUCAUGUGAACAUCGACUACAUGACACUUCACCAUUGUUUGGGCCUAGAGGAAGGCAUUGGGAAGUAAUAAGUAGAUGAUGGGUUGCUAGAGUGACAGAAGCUUAAACCCUAGUUUAUGCGUUGCUUCGUAAGGGGCUGAUUUGGAUCCAUAUGUUUCAUGCUAUGGUUAGGUUUACCUUAAUACUUCUUUUGUAGUUGCGGAUGCUUGCAAUAGGAGUUAAUCAUAAGUGGGAUGCUGGUCCAAGUAAGGACAGCACCCAAGCACCGGUCCACCCACAUAUCAAAUUAUCAAAGUACCGAACGUGAAUCAUAUGAGCGUGAUGAAAACUAGCUUGAUGAUAAUUCGCAUGUGUCCUCGGGAGCGUUUUCCUUUAUAUAAGAGUUUGUCCAGGCUUGUCCUUUGCUACAAAAAGGAUUGGGACAUCUUGCUGCACUUUAUUUACACUUGUUACUUGUUACCCGUUACAAAUUAUCUUAUCGCAAAACCAUCUGUUACCGAUAAUUUCAGUGCUUGUAGAGAAUACCUUGCUGAAAACCGCUUGUCAUUUCCUUCUGCUCCUCGUUGGGUUCAACACUCUUACUUAUCGAAAGGACUACGAUAGAUCCCCUACACUUGUGGGUCAUCACCAGUCCCUUUGCAGUAGAAGCACUCAGUCUCAGGAUUAGGUCUAGCUUUGGGAUUCAUCAUGGGAGUGGCAACUUGCUUGCCAUUCUUCUUGGAGUUCCCUUGCUUUCCCUUGCCCUUGUACUUGAAACUAGUGGUCUUGUCAACCAUCAACACUUGAUGCUUUUCUUGAUUUCUACCUUCGCCGGUUCAGCAUCGCGAAGAGCUCGGGGAAUUGUUUUCGUCAUCCCUUGCAUAUUAUAGUUCAUUACGAAGUUCCAGUAACUUGGUGAUAGCGACUAGAGAACUCUGUCAAUCACUAUCUUAUCUCGAUGAUUAACUCCCACUUGAUUCAAGCGAUUAUAGUACUCAGACAUUCUGAGCACAUGCUCACUGGUUGAGCUAUUCUCCUCCAUCUUGUAGGCAAAGUACUUGUUAGAGGUCUCAUACCUCUCGACUCGGGCAUGAGUCUGAAAUACCAAUUUCAGCUCUUGGAACAUCUCAUAUGCUCCGUGACAUUUCAAAACAUUUUUGAAGUCCCGGUUCUAAGCUGUAAAGCAUGGUGCACUAAACUAUUAAGUAGUCAUCAUAUCGAGCUUGUCAAACGUUCAUAACGUCUGCAUCUGCUCCUGCAAUAGUUUUCACCUAGCGGUGCAUCAAGGACAUAGUUCUUCUGUGUAGCAAUGAGGAUAAUCCUCAGAUCACGGACCUAGUCCGCAUCAUUGCUACUAUCAACUUUCAACUUAGUUUUCUCUAGGAACAUAUCAUAAAUAAAACGGGGAAGCUAUACACGAGCAAUUGAUCUACAACAUAGAUAUGAAAAUACUAUCAGGACUAAGUUCAUGAUAAAUUUAAGUUCAAUUAAUCAUAUUACUUAAGAACUCCCACUUAGAUAGACAUCCCUCUAGUCAUCUAAAUGAUCACGUGAUCCAUAUCAACUAAACCAUGUCCGAUCAUCACAUGAGAUGGAGUAGCUUUCAAUGGUGAACAUCACUAUGUUGAUCAUAUCUUCUAUACGAUUCACGUUCGACCUUUCGGUCUCAGUGUUCCGAGGCCAUAUCUGCAUAUGCUAGGCUCGUCAAGUUUAACCCGAGUAUUCUGCAUGUGCAAAACUGGCUUGCACCCGUUGUAUGUGAACGUAGAGCUUAUCACACCCGAUCAUCACGUGGUGUCUCACUACGAAGAACUGUCGCAACGGUGCAUACUCAGGGAGAACACUUAUACCUUGAAAUUUUAGUAAGGGAUCAUCGCAUAAUGCUACCGUCGUACUAAGCAAAAUAAGAUGCAUAAAAGAUAAACAUCACAUGCAAUCAAUAUAUUUGACAUGAUAUGGCCAUCAUCAUCUUGUGCCUUUGAUCUCCAUCUCCAAAGUACCGUCAUGAUCUCCAUCAUCACCGGCAUGACACCAUGAUCUCCAUGAUCUUGAUCUUUAUCAAUGUGUCGUCACAUGGUCGUCUCGCCAACUAUUGCUUUUGCAACUAUUGCUAUCGCAUAGUGAUAAAGUAAAGCAAUUAUAUGGCGCUUGCAUCUUAUGAAAUAAAGAGACAACCAUAAGGCUCCUGCCAGUUGCCGAUAACUUUAACAAAACAUGAUCAUCUCAUACAACAAUUUAUAUCUCAUCAUGUCUUGACCACAUCACAUCACAACAUGCCCUGCAAAAACAAGUUAGACGUCCUCUACUUUGUUGUUGCAAGUUUUACGUGGCUGCUACGGGCUUCUAGCAAGAACCAUUCUUACCUAUGCAUCAAAACCACAACGAUUUUUCGUCAAGUGUGUUAUUUUAUCCUUCAACAAGGACCAGGCGUAUUCAAACUCGAUUCAACUAAAGUUGGAGAAACAGACACCCGCCAACCACCUGUGUGCAAAAGCACGUGGGUAGAACCAGUCUCAUGAAUGUGCUCAUGUAAUGUCGAUCUGGGCCGCUUCAUUCAACAAUACCGCCGAAUCAAAGUAAGACGUUGCUGGUAAGCAGUAUGACUAUUAUCGCUCACAACUCUUUGUGUUCUACUCGUGCAUAUAACAUCUACGCAUAGACCUGGCUCGUUUGCCACAGUUGGGGAACGUAGUAUUUCAAAAAAAUUCUUACGAUCACGCAAGAUCUAUCUAGGAGAAGCAUAGCAACGAGCGGGGAGAGUGUGUCCACGUACCCUCGUAGACCGAAAGCGGAAGCGUUUAGUAACGCGGUUGAUGUAGUCGAACAUCUUCACGAUCCAACCGAUCCAAGUACCGAAUGUACGGCACCUCCGUGUUCAGCACACGUUCAACACGAUGACGUCCCUCAAGCUCUUGAUCCAGUUGAGGACGAGGGAGAGUUCCAUCAGCACGACGGCUUGGCGACGGUGAUGAUGAAGUUACCGGCGCAGGGCUUCGCCUAAGCACUUCGACGAUAUGACCGAGGUGUUAACUGUGGAGGGGGGCGCCGCACACGGCUAGGAACAAUUGAUGUGUGUUCUAGGGGUGCCCUCCCCACGUAUAUAAAGGAGGGAGAGGGAGGGAGGCAGCCUAGGACGCGCCCAAAUAGGAGGAAUCCUACUUGGGCCCCUAGUCCAAUUCGCCCCCCCCUUACCAUAUUUGGAAGGGGAAAAGGAAGGAGGGGGGAGGGGAAGGAAGUAGGAGUCCUACUUCAUACUUUCCUUUUCCUCCUCUCCUUUCCCUUUCUCCCCACGUGGCUGGCCCUAUAGGGGGCGCACCAGCACCUUGUGGGCUGGUGUGUUCCCUUACUUGGCCCAUUAAUGCCAUAUCUUUGUCGGGGUUUGUCCGGAACCCCUUCCGGUGACCCGGUAUCACCCGGAACACUUCUGGUGUCCAAAUACCAUCGUCCUAUAUAUGAAUCUUGAGCUCUCGACCAUUUUGAGACUCCUUGUCAUGUCCAUGAUCUCAUCCGCGACUCUGAACAAACUUCGGUCAUCAAAUCACAUAACUCAUAAUACAAAUCGUCAUCGAACAUUAAGCGUGCGGACCCUACGGGUUCGAGAACUAUGUAGGCAUGACCGAGACACAUCUCUGGUCAAUAACCAAUAGCGGAACCUGGAUGCUCAUAUUGGCUACUAAAUAUUCUACGAAGAUCUUUAUCGGUCAAAUCGUAUAACAACAUACGUUGUUCCCUUUGUCAUCGGUAUGUUACUUGCCCGAGAUUCGAUCGUCGGUAUCAUCAUAUCUAGUUCAAUCUCGUUACCGGCAAGUCUCUUUACUCGUUCCGUAAUGCAUCAUCCCGUAACUAACUCAUUAGUCGCAUUGCUUGCAAGGCUUAUAGUGAUGUGCAUUACCGAGAGGGCCCAGAGAUACCUCUCCGAUACUCGGAGUGACAAAUCCUAAUCUCGAUCUAUGCCAACCCAACAAACACCUUCGGAGACACCUAUAGAGCAUCUUUAUAAUCACCCAGUUAUGUUGUGAUGUUUGAUAGCACACAAGGUGUUCCUCCGGUAUUCGAGAGUUGCAUAAUCUCAUAGUUAGAAGAACAUGUAUAAGUCAUGAUGAAAGCAAUAGCAAUAAAACAAAACGAUCAUUAUGCUAAGCUAACGGAUGGGUCUUGUCCAUCACAUCAUUCUCCUAAGGAUGUGAUCCCGUUCAUCAAAUGACAACACAUGUCACUACAAAAAUAAUACACUUCCGUGAUGAUACGUGUUUGUCAUAGUAGGUCACGUUUUUUUGUCAUGCAUGUACAUCCAUGACGAUUUUAUGACAGAAUCAAGAUAGUCAUACUUGUGCUGUCGUAGAAGUGUUCCAUGACAUUAACAAAAAUAUCAUCACGGAAGUGUCCACUUCCAUGACGAUAAAUCGCGCGUCAUAGAAGUGCUUUCGUCAAUGUGACUGACACGUGGCAUCCACCGUAAUGGCUCGCCGUUAAGCUAUUGGGUCCGAUUUUGGAUCCGAUAACCCGUUAACAGCCCCGACCAAUGGGGAUUUUCCACGUGUAAAAUCAUCAUUGGCUGGAGGAAACACCUGUCGGCUCACCGUUGGGACAGAUGUCAUCCACUCAUUGGGCCGAAGGCGCCUAUGAUACAUCGACACGUGGCACGGCCCAACAGAGGCCCAUUCCUGUGAAAAGGCCGGCCCAUUUGACUUGGUCAAAAGGUGGCGGGCUGGCCCACGGAAAGCCUGUUAAUGGCAUGUUCGCAUAUAGCCCAUUUACAGCCCACUAACCCAGGGCCCGUUAUGACCUAUCCGAAUUAGGCCCAGUAGCGUCAUCUAGGCCGUCCAAUAUGAUUCCAGCCCGUUUUAACUUCCGGCCCAUGUAUAGCCCAUGAAGUCUUUCGGCCCAUAUGAGGCCCUUUGUAACUCUUGGCCCAUUAACGGCCCGUGGUGAAACUGGCCCAUAAUGAACAGUGUACCACUUUAUACCCAUUAACGACCCAUUAUUCCAUUGGGCCGUUUCCCGCCCAUGUUAUCCUUCGGCCUUCUCAGGGCCCAUUUAUUCUUCGGCGCAUUUCUAGCAUUCGUUUACUUACGGCCCGUUACUGUCACUUUCUGCUUGUGGGCCAAAUUCAGCCCAUGGUUACAGUCGGCCCGUUUGUGGCCCGUUAAUACGUUGGGCCGUUUUCAUAGCGUCAUCAAAUACGGCCUAUUAACGAUGGCCCGUUAUGGUCGGCCCAUGAACGGACGAUUCCAACUCUAGCCCGUUUACGACCAUAAUGCGGUCUGUUAUUGGCCCAUGUUUGGCCAAUCGAUCAUACGGCCCAUAGAAGGCCCAUUGAUGAUACGGCUCGUAGAAGGCCCAUUGUGUCUACGGCCCGUAGAAGGCCCAUUGUUUCUACGCCCCGUAGAAGGCCCAUUGUUUCUACGGCCCUUAGAAGGUCCAUUGUUUCUACGGCCCGUAGGAGGCCGACGAUAAGUACAGUAAAUAUGUAGCCCAUGGUUAUUGUGGCCUAGUUUUAAAAAAUAGGUUAUUGCGGCCACUAGCAAACAACGGAAAAAAGAACUGCACUAACUACAAGCAAACAAAUAAACAAGAUAAUAAGGAAAUAAAUAAGCAAGCAACUUACGCUAGCCUAUUACAACUAUUACACAUAUUACAUCCACUGGGCAUCAAAGUUCGCCACCAGUGCAAAUAUAGGGAACAAAUCAGCAUAUUACAUACACUGGCCGUCAAAAUUGGCCACCAGUGCAAAUAAACAUGGUAGCAAAACAAGUCGAUAACUGAAACAACUUCAGAGGAGCUCAAGAAACAUUAUCCUGGGUAUCCACCAUGCUGGCAAUAAGCUUAGCAAGCUUAUUAGCUUUGUCCUGUUUGGCGCUAAAAUCCUCCAACGCUUGCUGUUGCACCAGAAAGUAUGCGUCUGAAUGCUCCAGGGACUUCUGCAGUCCUUCCGCUUCUUGUCGCAGCACAGCUGAUCGAUAUCUUUCAGCUUGUAGUUGAGACUCAAGAAACCGAACUGAUUCAGACAGUGAGUUUUAAUAGCUUGUGCAAGCGGUAGUGGGCAGUAACUCAACCACUAAACCAAGACAGGACUUUGGGGUUGCCUCACUGUCUUCAAGAUAGUUUUCCUUAGCUGUUUUAUCAUGUUUGUUGGAGACCAACAAGGAUGUCUCACGAUCCUGAACCUUAUCUGCAUUACUUCCUUUAUCAUUGCUUAAUAAGGCACUCUUCCCCAAUAUUCUGUCAGCAUUCUAAAAGAAGAAACAAGCAGACACAUAACAGGUUUAGCAUGUACUAGUAUAUGAAACUCAUUUCGGUGAACCAGUUCAUUAGUAAGGUGGACAGGAUUAAACUACCAAGUCUUCUAUUGCCAAGUAGUACAUUAUAAAAGCAUCAAACAAACAUAUAUCUAUGUCCUAUGGUCAUUGCAUUGUCUUGCCAAAUCAAAAUAGUGACACGGUUCAAAUCAUAUCAGUUCAAGAGAAAGCAGCACUGAAAGAAUACAAAGUGUGGGAAACUACACAGCACAACAAGAUUUCAGAUGGGUACCACGAGUCUACAUGUACAACAUCACUAUUGGCCCUGUUAUGAUGCUAGUAAUGUGCAUAAUAUGAGAAGUUAAGUGUAUACACAAUUGAAUUGAAAUCAACAGAGCUAUUUAUAAGAGGAAACCUGUUAAAGAAACAUGCGUAAACAUACCUGUUGUGCCAUUGGAGUUUCCAUUGGAUCGUUCAGUUUAAAAAUAAGUUUGUAUGAGUAAAUACAGUGAUACAACACUAGUGCAGAACCGGGCUUUAGCGCCGGUUCGUAAGGGCCUUUAGUGCCGGUUCUGCAACCGGCACUAAAGAGUGGAGACUAAAGCCCCCCCCUUUACUACCGGUUCGGCACGAACCGGUGCUAAAGUGCCACCACGUGGCACGAGCCAGGCCCGGGUGCUGGUAGACCAUUAGUACCGGUUGGUAGCACCAACCGGUACUAAAUGUUUGGGGGGGUUUUGGUUUUAAUUUUUAUUUUUCCAUUAAUUUUGUGUUUUCCAUUUAAUUCUUUUUUGUUUGCUGGUAUUCUAGGAUACUACAUAUUGUACACGUUAUGCAUAUAUAUAAAUAGAUUUUCUCGUAGAACCGAUCAUAUAUAUAUAUAUAUAAUCGAAUGUCUCACAACCACCAUUAAUUAUUCACACAUACACAUGUAUAUAUAUACAAUUUCUCCUACAUGUUGCCUUGGUGCCUUCGGAGCAUGAUGACAAGUGGUUCAUGGGGGCGGUAGCGGGUAAUAGUAUUCUCCUUUGGGAUCUAUGACCUGGUCGAGCAAAUAUCCCGCUAUUUCCUCUUGAAGUGCUCGUAUGCGCUCCUCUGGUAGGAGCUGGUCCCGCACCUCUUUGAACUGUUAAGAAGGAGAUCAAUAUGCAUGUGUAUUAGUUGUGUGACUAGAUAUCGACAAUCAUGUAAGAUUUGUGAAUAGUGUCCUGGCAAACAUACCCAGUCCUGUCUAUCAGAUCUGCUCCUUUCGAACGCCAUCAUGCGAAUGUUCUCGCAAACGUAGUAUGCACACACUUCAGUCCCCGGCGCUUGCUUCAGGGCCUUUACGAGAAUAGAAUUUAAUGAGAUAAUAAUUAAUCAAGCAUGUUAAUUAAUUAAUGGUAUUGAAACAAGAAUUAAAGAGAUGGUAGCUAGCUAGCUAGUACUACUUAAUUACUUACCUUGGGUCAAUACCAACAUAGCUUUUGUCGCCAUUUUCCUGGAGUCACCUUGAUGUACUUUGCCCAAGCCCUGCCCGCCGGCAAAGAAAAUUAAUAAAGGGGUUAUUAAAAAUAGUUCAUAUCAGGAAAUGAUGAACUAAAUAGGCCGAGAUAUAGUUAAUAAUGAUUGAAAUUACCUGUUGACUAUCCCCUUCACGAUGCUGUAGUCACUAUCUUUUUUAAGUAGCGAGUCCAGUACUUCAACUUUUCCUUCAUCAACUUUAAUGUCUAACAAGAUCCAGUGGAAGCUGCAUGCGCAUAUGUUUGCAUGUAUAAAUUAAGCGGGCAUGUGCAUAACACUAAUCAACUAUAACCCUAAACCCUAUACACUUAUUAACAUCUAGCUAGUAAGCAAAAACAGAAUUUGUAGUACAAGACAGUGUGACUCACUCGAAGUUGUAAGGAAGUAGUAUAUCUUCAUUGCUAUUGAGGCGCUUCAAGAACUCUACCAUGUUUUUCUCUACAUCUUGUCUACACCAUUCCAAUUUCCAUGUGUAUUCAUUAACGGUAUUUGGGUCAAUGAACCCAAUGCCAUAGCGUCCAGCUUUUUUCAUUUCAUACAUCUUCAUCCUGCAUAAUACCACAGAAAAGAAUAUAUAGUGAGGAUAUAUAAUUACAGGUAAUUAAUGAUCAAUCAAUGAGCACUAGAGCUAGCUUGAGACUUAAAUUACAGAAAGAAAUCACUUACAGACAAUAGCAACUGACGAUAGAUUUGUCGAGUGCAUCUUGAUUGAAUAACUGAAAUAGUUCUGAAUACUCAACAGACAGAGCUUUCUUAUUGAAGUAAUGAUCUUCCUCGACUUGCACCAUGAGGGACUCUCGAUUGGAAAUCUUGGUAAUUUUCAUGUACCAAUCAUGCAAUUCAUACAUUCUCGUUGGGAGGUUCUUGACCUCCUCGGGCUCGACCAAAGGUUGGCCCCGGACAUAUUUCCGUUUUAUUUCCUCCUCUCUAAGCGGAGACAUGGGCUCCAUAUCGAGGAGUUGUCCAACAGUUAUCUUGAGCAUUUCAGCCUGCAUCAUAUGCUCCUCGGUUAUUACCACAUCGCACAGCUUGGGAACGUAAACGGUUUGCCCACAAUAAUAUUGGGCGCGCGUACUCUCAUGUGUUGNNNNNNNNNNNNNNNNNNNNNNNNNNNNNNNNNNNNNNNNNNNNNNNNNNNNNNNNNNNNNNNNNNNNNNNNNNNNNNNNNNNNNNNNNNNNNNNNNNNNNNNNGCUGCCUGUUCUCCCAGCUGGGGAAUGGUUUUCCCGCAUUUUUGGACAGCUACUUGUUGGCUCGAGCUCGAGCUCGCUUCUUUCUGUAGUCGUGCUCGAUGUGCCUUCCUGAUUUGGCGCUCAUAGUCUGAGUCAACAGGCUUGGGAGCUGGUGGUCUAGCCAUACGAAUGAAGUGGUCAAUCUUUUCCUCAGGCACUUUCUCCCUCGGCGGCGUUGCCGGUUUCAGUCCAAAAUGAGCGUCCACUUCGGCCCGCACUAUUGCAUCAUUUUGCUCCUCGGUCAUGUCGUAAGGCCUCUGAGGAAGAGGAGCGAGGCUGCUUGGACCAUAUUUAUAUCGCUUGUCUCUGCCUAUACUUCCUGUACUACCUCGACUCGUACCGCUACGCACCAUAGCUGCGGCGUGUCUCUUUUGCGAUUGCUUAGGCGGCGGAGAUGACUGACGUGGCUUAGUUGGAGCAGGAGGAGUGGCCUGACGCUGUGUCGGACUUGAAGUAGGAGGUGUGGCCUGACUCGGUGUCGGACUUGAAGCAGGAGGUGUGGCCUGACGCUGUGCCGUACUUGAAGCAGGAGGUGUGGCCUGACACGGUGUCAGACUUGAAACAAGAGGAGUGGCCUGACGCUGUGCCGGACUUGAAGCAGGAGUCUGCUCACGCGUUCGUGGACUUGGAGGAGCGGGAGUCUGCUGACACGGUGGCGGACUUCGAGGAGGAGUCGGCAGACGCGGUGUCGGUGGACUUCGAAAGAUGAUGCAAUCCUUUCUCCAUAGGAUGAUACGAUGUAUGGCCUCUCCGAGCGUGUGCUCGUCGUCACCUCCAGGAAUGUCAAGCUCUAGCCCCAAAUAUGGGUCCACCACCUCAUCAACCAAGACACAAGCAUAGCCCGCUGGAAUCGUGGUGUAAUGGAAGGUUGCUUCGGGGGUAAUUGUAAAAGCAACAACGUCCGCCACCUUCAUGGAUAUGUUCUUCAUUUUGAAGUGUAGCUAACAGUUAGUGUUCUCUAUGAUGUCAUCCACAGGGUAUGUAUCCAGCAGUGCGUCGCCCGGGGCGGAACCAACGCUGCUUCUCGGCAUGGAUGGGACGGUGCUAUCCAAUGCUGGAUGAUCAUCCGCUUGCUGCUGCCGCUGCUGAGACCCCCUUUCCUGGCUAAGUGAGUCGAUCUGCUGUUGCUGCUGCUGGAAUUUGAGUGCCAAGUCCACGUGCCUUGCUUCUAGGCCUUGAAGGCGUUCCGCGUCCUGCUUCCUCUGCUCCUCCUCCAGCUUCCUCUUCUUCUCCUCCUCCAUCUUCUUUCUUACACGGGUCCUGUAGUCGUCGUUCCAUUCCGAAAAGCCCUCAUACCAGGGAAUAACGCCCUUGCCUCGUGUUCUUCCCGGGUGUUCAGGAUUUCCCAGGGCGCGCGUAAGCUCGUCGUUCUCUCUGUUGGGCGUGAACACCCCCUUUCGAGCAUCUUCUAUAGCGUCAAGUAACUUUUGUUCUGCUCCUUUUAGACUUGCCUUCUUUGAAACCAGGCCUGUCUUCGGGUCCAACGCCCCCCAUGCGCAUAGAACCAAGUUCUGCACCUGGGGGGCCACCUCCUAGUAACCGGAGUGACCCCUGCAUCCUCCAUCUCUUGCUCAGACUUAUCCCACUUAGGCAUUGCCACCGCGUAGCCACCUGGACCCAGCCUAUGGAACUGCGUCUUUUUUGCGGCAUUGGCCUUGUUUUUUCUCGACCGUUCCUUAGAUAAUUUUGAUUCCAUGAAUUUCACGAAAGCGGGCCAGUGUUCUCUUUGCUUCUCCAGUGUUCCCUUGAAUUCUGGAGUCUUCCUUUCUGCAGCGAGGUAGUUGGCCCAUACAGUUUUCUUGUGGGUGUUGAAUGCAAUUGCCAUCUUCUUAAGAGCAGCGUCCUUGACUUUCUGCACAUCUGCAUCAGUGAAAUAAUCUGGUAGGGUGAAAUGUUCCAUCAGAGAUUCCCAAAGCUUUUGUUUUUCUCUGUCGUCGACCCAAGUAACAUCUGGGCGUUUAGUUUUUGGCUCUUUCCAUUCUUGAAUGGAGAUCGGGAGUUGGUCCUUCACAAGAACUCCGCACUGACGAACGAACUUGUUCGCAAUGUUCUUAGGCGUGAGGGGUUCGCCACUAGCUUUGAUGGAAUCGAUGUUGUACUUUACACCCUCCUUCAACUUUUUGCCCGGGCCGCGCUUUGUCCUGCUGUCUGUAGAAGCAGAUUUGCUCGAUCCGGAGGGCUGAAAGAAGAAAGAUCGAUUCAUUAAUAUAUCUUCAAAUAAAAAAACAUGUGAUGAUCACUAGAUGCCUGCUUAUAUAAAUAUACCUCGCCGGUAGUCUUUGUUAUUUCAAGAUCAACAUUGUAUUCGUCAUCAUAAUCAUUGUCUGCGUCAUCAUAAUCAUAAUCAUAGUUCAUGACUUCAUCAGCUCGGUCGUCGAGAUCGAAUAUCUUAUCAUCACCCUCCCCAGUAUUGUUCAGAUAUUGGGAGCCGUCAUUUGCUUCAUUCAGAUCAUCUGGCCUGUUAGGGCUGCGUAUGAUCUCGAACAGGGCCUCUUCUCCCUCUCUGCCGGUAUUGUCCGCCAUAGCUUUUAUUUAACUAAUACAGAAGAAAUAUAAAACAAUUUAGUAUUCAAACUACAAUGCAUGGAUGCAAUCAAUAAGGAAAAACUGAAUCAUAUAAUACAUAAUAUGCAUCGUCUUGAAUAAUAUAUAAUCUCGAAUACAUCGUCUCGAAUAAUAUAUAAUUUUGAAUACAUCACUGGCUAGGUAGCUAAUAAAGAUCGAAUACUAUAGAAGAAUCUAGGCCACUCGCGGUUCCUGGGGCGCGGGCGGUGGACACCCAAAGACAAGGAACCAUCACAGGAUCAUAUCUCCGGUCAUCUGCCCAAAGAACCUGCCAGGUAUUGGAGAACCUGACGUCCAUAGCAGCCAUGUAGCGAUGGACGUGCUCGUCCUCCUCCCUGACACGACGACGUACCACCUCCGGCGGGGCCGGCUCCCUCUGCACCGAAUUUUGACCACGCGAACGCCACCAAAGGAGAUCAGGGUCGACGACGGGACCCGAGGCCGGGUUCCUCACCAAGCGGCGCGCCCCUCCAGGUAGCACCUCCCAGUGCCAGCCCAGUGGAGCCCAAUCCUAGACAUGGGUCAGCCGGACGUCGUCGCGAACGGGUCGACGGCAAGGAUGCGGGCCGGGCAUCGUCGAGAACAAAUACUAUAUGCCCGCAAAAAGUAACAUUUUUAAAUGAUUGGAUUGUGAUAACUAAAAUUCUAUAUGCAAAUUCUAACAAUUUGACAUUUAUGUAAUUCAUCUAACUAAAACUAAUUCUAAAAUUUCUAACAUUUCUAUAUAUAUAACUAACAUUUCUAAUAUUUCUAUAACUAAAAAACAGAAAAAUUGCUAACAUUUCUAUAAAUAUUUCUAUAACUUAAAAACAGAUGAAUUUAUAACGUUUCUAUAUNNNNNNNNNNNNNNNNNNNNNNNNNNNNNNNNNNNNNNNNNNNNNNNNNNNNNNNNNNNNNNNNNNNNNNNNNNNNNNNNNNNNNNNNNNNNNNNNNNNNNNNNNNNNNNNNNNNNNNNNNNNNNNNNNNNNNNNNNNNNNNNNNNNNNNNNNNNNNNNNNNNNNNNNNNNNNNNNNNNNNNNNNNNNNNNNNNNNNNNNNNNNNNNNNNNNNNNNNNNNNNNNNNNNNNNNNNNNNNNNNNNNNNNNNNNNNNNNNNNNNNNNNNNNNNNNNNNNNNNNNNNNNNNNNNNNNNNNNNNNNNNNNNNNNNNNNNNNNNNNNNNNNNNNNNNNNNNNNNNNNNNNNNNNNNNNNNNNNNNNNNNNNNNNNNNNNNNNNNNNNNNNNNNNNNNNNNNNNNNNNNNNNNNNNNNNNNNNNNNNNNNNNNNNNNNNNNNNNNNNNNNNNNNNNNNNNNNNNNNNNNNNNNNNNNNNNNNNNNNNNNNNNNNNNNNNNNNNNNNNNNNNNNNNNNNNNNNNNNNNNNNNNNGCGACGGGGACGGCGACAGGUGGCGACGACGGGGAUGGGGACGGGGCGGUGACGAAGCGGACGGGGCGGUGACGAAGGGGAUGGGGACGGGCCGGGCGGGGACGACGGGACGACGGGGCGGCGACGACGGGGACGGGGCGGCGACGGGGGCGUCGACGAGGGGUGGCGAUGGGGGGCGGCGGGCGAUGGGGCAGAGGAGAAGAAGCAGAUGAGAAACUGAAUUUUUUGAAGUGUUUUCUUAUAUAGGAUGGGCCUUUAGUACCGGUUGGAGCGACCAACCGGUAUUAAAGGUCAAUUUUGGCCAGGCCAAGCGGCGGGAAGCGCCCACCUUUAGUACCGGGUGGUGGCUCCAACCGGUACUAAAGACCCACCCUUUAAUACCGGUUUGAGCCACCACCCGGUACUAAAGGUGGUGCGCUGGCGCAGGUGCGGUGCGUCAUGUUUAGUCCCACCUCGCUAGCCGAGGGGCGUCCGUACUGGUUUAUAAGCCCCAGUGCGGUAGCUCUCUCGAGCUCCUCUCCAAAGCAGGCCUACUGGGCCUAAAUGUUCUGUGCUGCCCUGUGGGCCUACUGGGCCUUUGCGGGCCUGCAUCCUGGCCCAACAACAUGUUGGGUUUCUAGUCGUAUGCAGGCCGCUGUGGCGCAGUAGGCGGGCUUUUUUAUUUUCUUAUUUUUUGCUUUAUUUAUUGUUGUUUUAUUUAUUUUUGAGUUGUUUUUUUCUGUAUUUAGAGUUUCUUUGUGAAUAUUAUUGCUUUAGGUACAAAAAAUUACAAACUUUCUAUUAGUGCCGGUAGUUUACAAAUUUGAAUAGUUUACAUUUUGAAUUAUUUGAAAUCUGUGUGAAUCACUAGUUUGUGAAUAACUUAACUUUGAAAAUAGAUUUUUCAGUGAUUCUUUUUUCUUAUGUUUAAUAUUAGUGUGUUUUAUCAUUAUAUUCAAUUUGGUAAUGCUUAGGUUAUUUAAAAAAUGAAAUGCCUUUGUAACGGAUGAGUUUUCGUCCGAAAGCCUGAUACUUCGAAAGAGAUUGUCCAUCUUGUACACGAAGUGCAUCCAGUUUUUGCGGUAACCCUCUCUACUUUUUUGCACAUGCUAUGUGGGUGCAAUUAUGAUACCAUGCCAACUUUCAACCUUUUCUGAGUUCAUUUGAAAUGCUUUUCAAUUUCAGGGUCAUUUAGCUGAAAAAAAUCAGUAAAUGCAUGAAAGAAUUUGUUUGCACAUAAAAUUUCUUCGCGUUUCAAAUGCAAAAACACAUAACUACCCUAACUAUUACAGAGAUUCCCUCCUGGGUGUGAAACAAAGAAGAAAGUGAUGAUAGUGAAGCCGAUCACAUCCCAGAUCUUUGGGUGUGAAACUUUUUCUUUGCGUGUGUCCCUUUGCGCCGUAGCCAUGGAAAAUCUUCAUCAUUUAACUGGAUGCUCGGGUCAAUAUUCACUGUGAAUGGGGCAAUUUCAUCAAACUUUUCAUAAUCUUCUGACAUGUCUGUCUUGUCAUCCACUCCCACGAUGUUUCUCUUCCCAGAAAGAACUAUGUGGCGCUUUGGCUCAUCGUAUGAUGCAUUCGCUUCCUUAUCUUAUCUUUUUCUCGGCUUGGUAGACAUGUCCUUCGCAUAGAAAACCUAUGCCACAUCAUUGGCUAGGACGAAUGGUUCGUCUGCAUACGCAAGAUUGUUGAGAUCCACUGUUGUCAUUCCGUACUGCGGGUGUUCCCUUACCCCGCCUCGUGUCAUAUUGACCCAUUUGCACCGAAACAAAGGGACCUUCAAACCACGUCCAUAGUCAAGUUCCCAUAUGUCCUCUAUGUAACCUUAAUAUGUUUCCUUUCCCGUCUUGGUUGUUGCAUCAAAGCGGACACCACUGUUUUGGUUGGUGCUCUUCUUAUCUUGGGCGAUCGUGUAAAAUGUAUUACCAUUUAUCUCGUACCCUUUGAAAGUCAUUAUAUUUGAAGAUGGUAACUGGGACAGCGAGUACAGGUCAUCUUCAAUAGAGGCAUCAUGCAUGGUACGUGUCUGCAACCAGCCGGCGAAACUCGUGGUUUGUUCACGUGUAAUCCAGUCAUCAGACCGCUCCGGGUGUUUGGAGCGUAGAAAAUUCUUGUGUUCGUCCAUAUACGGAGCCACCAAGGCGGAAUUCUGUAGAACCGUGUAGUGUGCUUCAGUGAGAGAAUGUCCGUCCAUACAUAUUUCUUGAUUCCCUCCAAGCGUUCCUUUUCCAUCCAGUCUGCCCUUAUGCCGCGAUUCAGGAACACCAAUCGGCUUAAGGUCAGGAAUAAAGUCAAUACAAAACUCAAUGACCUCCUCAUUUUCAUGGCCCUUGGAGAUGCUUCCUUCUGGCCUAGCACGGUUAUGAACAUAUUUCUUUAAGACUCCCAUGAAACUCUCAAAGGGGAACAUAUUGUGUAGAAAUACAGGACCCAAAACAUUAAUCUCUUCGCAUAGGUGAACUAGGACGUGCGUCAUGAUGUUGAAGAAGGAUGGUGGGAACACCAACUCGAAACUGACAAGACAUUGCACCAAAUCAUUCUCUAACCUUGGUAUGAUUUCUGGAUCGAUUACCUUCUGAGAGAUUGCAUUGAGGAAUGCACAUAGCUUCACAAUGGCUAAUCGAACGUUAUCCGGUAGAAGCCCCCUCAAUGCAACCGGAAGCAGUUGCGUCAUAAUCACGUGGCAGUCAUGAGACUUUAGGUUUUGGAACUUUUUCUCUGCCAUGUUUAUUAUUCCCUUUAUAUUCGACGAGAAGCCAGACGGUACCUUAAUACUGAGCAGGCAUUCAAAGAAGAUUUCCUUCUCUUCUUUGGUAAGAGCAUAGCUGGCAUGACCCUGAUGUAUGCCAUCUUUUCCAUGCAUACGUUGCUGGUCCUCCUGUGCCUCAGGUGUAUCUUUUGUCUUCCCAUACACGCCCAAGAAGCCAAGCAGGGUCACGCAAAGAUUCUUCGUCACGUGCAUCACGUCGAUUGCAGAGCGGACCUCUAGGUCUUUCCAAUAGGUAAGGUCCCAAAAUAUAGAUUUCUUCUUGCACAUGGGUGCGCGUCCAUCAGCGUCAUUCGGAACAGGUUGUCCGCCAGGACCCUUUCCAAAGACCACCUUCAAAUCCUUGACCAUAUCAUGUACAUCAGCACCAGUACGGUGGCAAGGCUUCGUCCGGUGAUCCGCCUCACCUUUGAAAUGCUUGCCUUUCUUUCUUACAGGAUGCCUGCUCGGAAGAAAUCGACGAUGUCCCAGGUACACAUUCUUCCUACAAUUGUCCAAAUAUAUACUGUCGGUAUCAUCCAAAUAGUGCGUGCAUGCGCGGUAUCCCUUGUUUGUUUGUCCUGAAAGGUUACUGAGAGCAGGCCAAUCAUUGAUGGUCACGAACAGUAAGGCCUUUAGGUCAAAUUCUUCCCCCAUGUGCUCAUCCCACGCACGUACACCUGUUCCAUUCCACAGCUGUAAGAGUUCUUCAACUAAUGGCCUUAGGUACACAUCAAUGUCAUUGCCGGGUUGCUUAGGGCCUUGGAUGAGCACUGGCAUCAUAAUGAACUUCCGCUUCAUGCACAACCAAGGAGGAAGGUUAUACAAACAUAGAGUCACAGGCCAGGUGCUAUGGUUGCAGCUCUGCUCCCCAAAAGGAUUAAUGCCAUCUGCGCUUAGACCAAACCAUGCGUUCCUUGCGUCAUCUGCAAACUCCUUCCCGUACUUUCUCUCGAUUUUUCUCCACUGCGACCCGUCAGCGGGUACUCUCAACUUUCCGUCUUUCUUACGGUCUUCUCUGUGCCAUCGCAUCACCUUGGCAUGCUCUUUGUUUUGGAACAAACGUUUCAACCGUGGUAUUAUAGGAGCAUACCACAUCACCUUGGCAGGAAUCUUCUUCUUGGGGCGCUCGCCCUCGACAUCACCAGGGUCAUCGCGCUUGAUCUUAUAGCGCAAUGCACCGCAUACCGGGCAAGCGUUCAAAUCCUCGUACUCACCACGGUAGAGGAUGCAGUCAUUAGGGCAUGCAUGUAUCUUCUGCACCUCUAACCCUAGAGGGCAGACAACCUUCUUUGCUUCGUACGUACUCUCGGGCAAUUCGUUGUCCUUUGGAAGCAUAUUCUUUAUCAUUACCAGCAACUUUCCAAAUCCCUUGUCAGAUACACCAUUCUCUGCCUUCCAUUGCAGCAAUUCCAGUGUGGUGCCCAACUUUUUCUUGUCAGCUUCGCAACUCGUGUACAACAAUUUCUUGUGAUCCUCUAACAUGCACUACAACUUCUUCUUCUCCAAAUCACUUGCGCAGUUUCUCUUUGCAUCGGCAAUGGCCCGACCUAGAUCAUCAGCGGGCUCAUCUGAUGCCUCUUCUUCAGCUUCUUCCCGCAUUGCCGGCUCAGCUUCUUCCCCCAUUGUUGUAUCAUCGUAUUCAGGGAACCCAUGGCCAGGAUAGCUGUCGUCGUCCUCUUCUUCUUCAUUGUCUUCCAUCAUAACCCCUCUUUCUCCGUGCUUGGUCCAAACAUUAUAGCGGGGCAUGAAACCGGACUUAAACAGGUGGACGUGAAUGGUUCUUGACAUAGAGUAAUUGUGAUCAUUCUUACAGACUAAACAUGGACAAGGCAUAAAACCAUCCGCCCGCUUGUUUGCCUCAGCCGCAAGCACAAAAGUUUGCACGCCAUUAAUGAACUCGGGAGAGCAUCGGUCAUCGUACAUCCAUUGUCGGCUCAUCUUCAUUACACAACACCGAAAAGACCAAAUUAAUACAAUUUCAUACAUAAAGUUCAUACAAGACUUAAAUGCAACAAACAAAUAACUCUCCAACUAAAGAAUUUAAAUGCAACAACAAAUGCGAUCAAGAUCGCAACUAAGGUAACAAUUGAUCCAACAGCAUAAUGAUACCAAGCCUCACUAUGAAUGGCAUAUUUUCUAAUCUUUCUAAUCUUCAAGCGCAUUUUCUCCAUCUUGAUCUUGUGAUCAUCGACGACAUCGGCAACAUGCAACUCCAAUUCCAUCUUCUCCCCCUCAAUUCUUUUCAAUUUUUCCUUCAAAUACUCGUUUUCUCUUUCAACUAAAUUUAACCUCUCGACAAUAGGGUCGGUUGGAAUUUCCGGUUCACAAACCUCCUAGACAAAAAUAUCUAUGUCAACUUGAUGGGCAUAAUUUUUCAUAAACACGAAAUGCAACAACUAGUUUUAAAAGAGAAUAUACCACAUCCGAAUCAUAACAAGGACGAGGGCCGACGGGGACGGAUAUCAAAACCAUGGCACUAUGUAUAACAAACAACGUACGGGUAAGAUAAUUAUACGAGUAACUAUAUAUCCAAAUCACACAAACAUCAGUUUGGUAAUGUAAAACAUUCAUGAACAAGAGGCUCACCACAAGGUGGUGCCGGCGACGGAAUGGUGCGGGCGAUCGACUGUGGUUACGACGGAGAUUUAGAAGGCACUAAGUAAACCACACCUACAUAUGCAAACUAAGUGUUAUUUUUGACCUCAAAUUGCAUAUAAAUCAAAUACUAGCACAUAUAUUUUCUCCCAAAUUACUAAACUCAUAAAUUAAUCACUAUACAAAGCAUUGUAAGAGCUAAUAUAGCAAUGAGAGAUGAAAGGACAAAGUUGCUAACCUUUGUGAUCAUUUG
rnacentral:lncRNA from 1 species